UCCCUUGGGAGGUUUACCAAUUGGGGUUGGUGGCUUGUGUUCUGGGAGUGGUUUCUCUCCCUUGGGAGGUUUAGUGGGUGACUUGUGUUCUGGAGGUGGCUUCUCCACCGAAGGCUUGUGCUCCGGUGGUGGCUUUUUGGUUGGAGGGGGCUUGGGGUAAUCAGCAAGAGAUGGGGUGGUGAGAACCACCAGUCCAAGGAACAACACUAGCAAGUAUGUGGGAGACAUUUUUGAGUUUGGGCUGAUCAGAUGAUGCAAAACUAAAGCAUUACGUGACCUUUUAUAGCAAGUAGCUCCCAAUACCUACUUGACACGUGUUACUGUGACCCAUAAAUAUUAUGGGGUCUAUUUGUGCCCUACCGGGUUGAAAACUUGGACAAUUGGGCAAGGACCCGCCUGACUAUGGAGGACUACUGAGGUGUGAUCACAGCUUUAGGAUUUUUCUUCCUCUGCAGCCGUCUUGCCGUUGGCAUGAUUUUCUUAAUCUCAAAUAAAGGCAUAGUUAUAGAGUUGUUUAAUCUCUAAAUGGGAUUUUAUAUAUCUUCAGAUAGCCAUUAAUACAUUUGAUGAAGAAAGAAAGACAAGUGCAUACAACAUGUAUACGACUAGCUUUCAUGGAGUUCAUUUAUGAUCAGUUUUCCUGUACAUGUAAACCAAGAUCAUAUAUGUUUUUGUUCCACAACAAUUUUGGAAUCUUGUUUAUCCGUUUUUAUCAUUAUAAUGUCACAUAGGCUGCCAACUUGGGCGCUAAAUUAAAGAUCCAGUUGGGCAAGUUCGUUUCAGAAUUUCAAUGGUGGAUUCAGGAAUUGUUUUAUAAGAUAUGCAAAAUAGUAGAGGGAUGAAUAGUGUUUCAUUAAGAAAAGAGCCCUGUAAAAAUAUUGUUUAAAGGUGCCAUAGAAACUAUAAUCAAUAAAUAACUUUUUUUCCCCAUGGGUGGUGUUUCUUGUGGGGAUCAGUGACUGGUUUGAGUCAACGCCGUGUCUCUUUAGUCCAGAAAUCAACUAUUUUAUGCAUUGAAUACAUCAACAAAGAAAAUAUGAAAGCCAAAUGACACCUCCCCCGCAAAAACUAAACCCUGGUUGCUAACUUUCUAUGUUUCAGUUCCAUUCACACAAGAAUAUUAGUUCAAGUUUGAGAAAAAUGGCGACUUACCUAGUGAUAACUCGGUCUUGGUUUGCGAUUUGACUUUAACGUCAUGGGUUGAAGCCUCCUACAAUCAUCGUGUAUGCUAGUUCAAAGCUCGUGGAAGAAGUUAUACAGGGAGGGAGAAACCUCCACAGCAAGCUCCAAAAGAGAAUUAUCACAUUGAAAGCUCCAGUUGAACACUGGGUGAAAGCCAUAACAAGAUUGGUUUUCUAUCGCUCUUUUAAGUAAUGGAAGAUUAUUAUCUCUGCUUGUCACUACAACCGUGCAUGCUGCUAGAUCUUUCUAGACACUUCAAACAGUGAAACCAAGUAUGAUUCUUUUUCUCUUGAGUGGGUCCACUUGCAUGCCAAUGAACGAGUUGAAAAGUUGGACAAUUGGCCACAGCGCGCACUUACCUUCUGGAACCGAAGGUCAGUGAAGUGGGGUUCCUUUUGGCCCCUUGUGUUUCUGUUCCAACCUACUCCAGGAACCGAAGUUCAGUGAAGUGGGGCUACUUUUGGCCUCUUGUGUUUCUGUUCCAACCAAACAAAAAUGGGAGGGAAAAAUAGCAUUAUGCUUGUGCUAAAGAUCAACGCAUGAUAGCUGAAUAAGGGAGAAAAAGGCAUUGCUAUCUCAAUUUCAUAAACUUGAUAAGUAGUGACAUUAAUAGUCUUCCUCAUAGAUGGAUACAUGGUUUUAUUUUAUUUAUUUAUUUUUAUUUUUUUGUUUUAUGUCAAUGCUAAUGAAUGAAGUGCAUUAGCUUGUUUUGUGACUAGAACUACAAAUGUCCAAAUUGGAGCUUCUCCAAUAUAUUUCUCAGUGAGUUAUUGAUUAGAACUCUUGGAUUGAGUUCCAAGAUUUGAAUCAGACCCCUCUAGCAGCUUCAGGGGUACGUAGCAACCUAUAGCAUAUUAAUGAAGACUUAGGAUUUAGACUUAGGAAUACAAAUUAAUAUGUACCUCAUGCUCUGACUAGCUUCCCUGCGUAUGCACAAAAUGGAGAUGACUCCCAAAAAAAUAGCAGAAUCGCCUUAGUAUGUUUUUGUGGUUAAGAUGAUUCUCCACUUUAUAUAUCCACAUUGGUUCAUUAUGCAAAUUAAUCAACUAAGCUAUUUUUAUUUUUUCUUAAAUGUGAAAUAGGAGCUCCAAAUUAACCUAACCAUUGGCCUGAUUGAAUUGAUUUCACUUGCAUAAUGUUAUAGUAGAAGUCCGUAAUUUGAAUUUUAUUUUUGCAAAAGGUAACGUAAAUGAAGCAUUGUAAUUAAAUUUAUUUGUAAUUACAAACUAAUUUUAUUUUAUUAAGAAUUAAUUUAAUUACUCAUUUAAAAUAAAAAUCAGUUAUACUUUUACCAAGAUGAUAAUAUUCAUAUUUUUCUAGUUAACAUAUAUAAAAUAGUACACUUUUUCAUAUAAAAAAAUAAUUUAUGAUUUAUUAUAAUGUUACUAUUCACAUUUUACUAAAUUGAUGGUACAUGAUAGUGAGAGAAGGGGGUGUCACACUCAGCUAAAGUUCUUUUCAAAAUAUUGCAUGGUGUUUAAUUUUAUGUGUCGGCGCGCGUGUGAAUGGAACCUGCAAAAGUCCAAAUUGGCGUUUCUCCAUUUUCCACAUAGGAUGGUGACGUUAAUAGACAAAGAUACAAUAUCUGUAGACAUUGCUUAAAAAUCGAUGUGAAGUAUUAGAAAUUACAGGGCACUGUACUGGGGGAGCGGCUGCCCCGCCAAAGGAGGAAGAAUGUAGCAAUUUCUUCUGUUAGCCAGGCCUUAGGAUUUAUGCAUGGGAUGCCUAAUAACAAACAGAGAAAAUAUACUUUUGGGGAAGGUAUCCAACAACAGACACCAUCAUUCAGAUGGUGGGAAGGUAUCCAACAGAUGCCAUCAUUCAGAUGGUAACAUAUAUAUACAUUUAUUAGUGAGUUUUUUUAAUACCUAUAAAAAAAAAUAUACACUUUGAUAUUGUGGCUGAAUCCAUUACAUACUCAACUAACCUUGCUCAUUAGGGAUUUGACUUAACAAGGGCAACGUUGCAGUACAAGCUCAAAACUUUAUGCAGGUGACAUUACAUUUGGUAAAGAAGAGGAAAAUAACGAAAGCCAUCCAUAAAAGCAAAAUUCCACAUGGGAUGAAAUUCACAAGCUUCAUUUACGAUAGAGUCGCAUCCAGGCAAUUAAUUCCACAUUAGACCGCCUGUUGACAUGUGUACCAAUCUUUUUUCAAAAAAUAUUUAUAAAUAAUUGAUACUCACAAAAAUAAUUUAAUAUUUAUAAAGGAUAAAAAAAUAUUUUCAAAUCUAUAACAAUUUAUAAAAUAUUAAUAAAAAAUUAUCUCUUAAACUUAGUAUAGUUUUAUCAGAUUAAACUUUUAUUUUGAACAAAUAAUUUUAAUCUAAGUUUUAAAUUCUAAAAUUAUUUCCUUAAAAUAAAAUUUUAAAAUUCAACACUUCAAUUGAAAUUGUCUUUUUAAAAAAUAUCUUCUUAUUUUAAUCCUUAUAAACUAUAGUUGAUUGAAAAUACUAUUGAAGUUCUCUCUUAAAAAAAAGUCUUAUUUUAAUCUUCAUAAAUUGCCCUUGAUUUGAAAAUAAAUUUUCAGUUAUCAUAUUUUAAAUAAUAUCUAUAUUUAAAAUACUCUAUUUAAAAAAAAAUGAACUAAUUUUAAUUAUAUUAUAUUUUAUUUUUUUAUAUAUUUUUAAUGAUAAACCAAACAUAGAAAAUCAUUUUUCUAAAUAUUUUAAAAUUUCUAAGCAACCAAACAUAAUCUUCAAAAUAAAAGGAAAAUAAGGAGGGACAUUUGAGAAAUGGCGAUUAAAAAAAAGUGUACAAAAGCUCAAUUAAUUUUCUUCUAGUCUUUUAUAUAAAAAAGUAAAGGAAUUGAAAAGUAUUGAUAUGUAAAUUAAUAUUUGGAUUUUAAUAGUAUUUUAUUUGUCUUUCUCUAUCUCAUGUAAAAGAGAAUUUAAGAUAUUUCCUAAAGCAAAGCAUUAGUUAUCUGCAAUCAGUGGUGAUCAUGCCCCAUGUCAAUUUCGGACCCAUAUCUUAAAACUGUAUAAUUUGCAUUCAAACAUUACUGAUUUCUCAGAUGUUUCAUACUCCACAGAAGAGCAUUGUUUGUGAAAGCAUGCAUUUAUGUUGGAUUUUGGAUGAUGUGGGAACUGGGGCAAGGAUCAUAUGGAAGAGUGGUCGAUUUUGUUCUGUACUUUAACAUUUGAAAUAGGAGAAGCUCGGGCAUUUGUGGGGCUUAAUUGAUUUUGAAGCCUGAAAUUGCGUUUCUGUCAUUUUGUAAAAAAUAUGGCAGAUUCCAUGCUCUCAUAUGUUUGGUCUGUGGCCAUGUAUAGAUGCCCCUUAGUGACCAGUUUGUAACUGUCAAUCAUAGUGUUUUGACUCUGGCUCAACAACAUCAGCCAUUGACGGAUUUUCAUACUUGCAAAUCAAAUAGUCUUCUUCCUCCCUUAGGAAUUUCGGUUUAAAUGUUAUUAAGCAUACAUUUGGCUGACAAUUAUUAACCACUUCAUGAUAUGGUUUCUUACCCUUAAUCAAUGGUUUCUAAGUGAAUAUAUGCAGAAGGAAAUCUGAACUGUAGACAGCAGUAUUGAUAACUCUCAAUAUUCUUUAUAUAAGAGAAUAAACAACGUCAUAGUGAUCGUCGCCUACAAGAAAGGUACAUUUCCCAACAAGAUGUAGUUGUGACUGGUACAUGGACGCAAUUAACUCGUACAAAAGAAUAAGACCAGUGCACGGCAGCUCUUAUUUUACAUGCUAAUUAUGCUAACCAAAGUCACUCAGUUGGGAUGGGAGGGAGAUGGAGGUUUGUGCGGUGGCUUGUGGGGCGGAGUUGGUGGCUUCUUUUCAGGAGCUUGUGGCUUUUUCGGAGCUGAAGGAGGCUCAAUCUUAUGAGGCGGCUUGUACGAGUCUUCUUUACUCUCGACAGGAGGGUGGCCAGGGUUGUGACCAUAAUGUGGUGGCUUCUCUCCCUUAGGUGGCUUGCCAACUGGGGUUGGUGGCUUGUGUUCAGGAAGUGGUUUCUCUCCCUUGGGAGGUUUACCAAUUGGGGUUGGUGGCUUGUGUUCUGGGAGUGGUUUCUCUCCCUUGGGAGGUUUAGUGGGUGACUUGUGUUCUGGAGGUGGCUUCUCCACCGGAGGCUUGUGCUCCGGUGGUGGCUUCUCCACCGGAGGCUUGUGCUCCGGUGGUGGCUUCUUGAUUGGAGGGGGCUUGGGGUAAUCAGCAAGAGAUGGGAUGGUGAGAACCACCACUCCAAGGAACAACACUAGCAAGUAUGUGGGAGACAUUUCUGAGUUUGAGCUGAUCAGAUGAUGCAAAACUAGAAGAAUUACGGGACCUUUUAUAGCAAGUAUCUCCCAAUACCCACAUGACACGUGUUACUAUGACCAUAAAUAUUAUAGGGUCCAUUUGUGCCCUACCGGGUUGAAAACUUGGACGCUUGGCCGAGGACACACCUGACUAUGGAGGACUAUUGACGUGUGAUCACAGCUUUUGGAUUUUUCUUCCUGUGCAGCUGUCUAGCGGUUGGCAUUAUUUUCUUAAUCUUAAAUAAAGGCAUAGUUAUAGAGUUGUUUAAUCUCUAAAUGGGAUUUUAUAUAUCUUCAGAUAGCCAUUAAUAUAUUUGAUGAAGAAAGACAAGUGCAUACAACAUGUAUACGGCUUGCUUCAAUCGAGUACAUUUAUGAUCAGUUUUCCUGUGCAAGUAAACCAGUUUUUUGUUCCACAACUAUUUUGGAAUCUUGUUUAUCAGUUUCUAUCAUUAUAAUGUCACAUAGGCUGCAAACUUGGGCACCCAAAGAUCUAGGUGGGCAAAUUUGUUUCAGACUUUCAAUGGUGGAUUCAGUAAUUGUUAAAAGGUGUUUCUUCAUUAAGGAAAGAGUCCGGUAAAAAUAUUGUUAAAAGGUGUCAUAGAAACUAUAAUAAAUAAAUAACUUCUUUUCCCCAUGGGUGGUGUUUCUUCUGGGGAUCAGUGACUGGUUAGGGUCACCCAAAAUGAGUCCAGAUUAAAAUUGGUUCGAGUCAAAGCAGUCUCUUUUGUCCAGAAAUCAACUAUUUUGCGCAUUGAAUGAAUCGAUAAAGAAAAAAUGAAAGCCAAAUCACACCUCCCCUGCAAAACCUAAACCCCGGUUGCUAACUUUCUAUGUUUCAGUCCUAUUCAUAUAGGAAUAUUGGUUCAAGUUUGAGAAAAAUGGCAACUUACCUAGGGUUUACUUGGUUUUGGUUUGCGACUAUUUACGCAACCAACCAUGAGUUUGACUUUAACGUCAUGGGUUGAAGCCUCCUACAAUCAUGUAUGAUAGUUCAAAGCUCGUGGAAGAAAUUAUACAGGAAGGAAGAAACCUCCAAAGCUAGCUCCAAAAGAGAAUUAUCACAUCGAUAGCUCCAGAGAUUCCCAAGGGAACUGAAUCAAAGACAAGUUCCUCACUUUUUCUUCUUUUGAGGCCAAAUAUGAACCAAGGAUCACACGACCUCAUUCAACUUCAUAAGUUUGAUUUCAUGCAGUUGAACACUGGGUGAAGGCCAUGACAAGAAUUGAUUAAAAAAUUCUACCACUCUUUUAAGUAAUGGAAGAUUAUUAUCUCUGAUUGGCACCACAACAGCACAUGCUGCUAGAUCUUUCUAGACACUCCAUGCAAUGAAAGCACAAUGGAUCUUGUAAUGAUAGAAACUAAGCCAUGCUACAGUACUAGAUGAGGGGGUAAAACUAGUAGACAUCUUUCUAGACACUCCAUGCAAUGAAAGCACAAUGGAUCUUGUAAUGAUAGAAACUAAGCCAUGCUACAGUACUAGAUGAGGUGGUAAAACUAGUAGACAUGGCUGGCAGUUGAUUACUACUCAAAAAGUACUCUUUUAUAGCUUGAAACUAACUGUUUUAAACACUUUUGAGUAGUAGUUAAUACCUUUUAACUUAAUUGGCACAUUAAGGAACCUAGCAAGGGUUACUAAUCAACAUUUGGCAAGUUUUGAUGUUUUUGGUAGCUAUUUGAUCAUUGAAACAAGCCAAGAAUGAGGGGGAAUUUUGUGAAGUCCAUGGCAAUGCAAGUUAAAGCUCAAAUACAUGAAGAAUCCAAGCUUUGGAGCACUUCAUAGCCCUUUGCCAAGCCAAUCAAAGAUGCAAGGAAGAAAACCAAAGGAAGAAAUCCAACAAUCAGCAUUUUGGCAUGGCUAUGUGAAAUUUCGCACACCAUGCGAAACCACAAGAGGCAGCCAAAGAAUUUCGCAUGGUAUGCGAAAUCUUCUUGUGCACUGACUCUGUUAGAUUUUUAUCUUCAGAUAUUUUGUGUAAUUUCCUAGUUUCUCCUUGUAACCAACUUAGAUAUUUUCUUUUAUAUCUUUUUUUAUAUUUUUUAGGUAACAUCAUAUAUAAGAGGAGAGACAUAAGGAGGAUAUGGAUGUUUUUCAUAGAACACUUGUAAAUUUUUGGUAGUAAGAAAUAUACAAAGCUUUUUGCUCUGCCUUACCUUCUCAAGGGAUGAGUGGCUAGGUUUUCUUGGAGUGAGGGAAGCUAGGUGAAGGACCUGAAUGCAAAGGUGGGAGUUUUCCUUACUUUAAAUGAAAGUAGUUGUUAAACAUUAAUGGUUUUUAUUUUAAGGUUUAGCUUUAAAUCCCUGAAAAACACCUUGAAUGGCCAAUACUUGGUAAGCUUUUUAGAUUCUAUGGAUGCUUAUUGCUAGAUCCAUGGAUGUCUAUUAGUUAUCAUUUACGAGCCAUUGGAAGGUGAUUCAAGGUGAGGGUCUUUAGUGUUUGAAGCCAUUAAUGGGAAGCAAUUACCAUUUUUUCAUGAAUCCUUUGGAUCAAAUCUUAAUUGCUAAAUAUAAAACCGGUUUCGAGAGAUAACCACCAUCCUUUAUGUUAUUAUCCCCAACGCGAGGAGAAGAUCCGAAAUCUUCCUUUUUAUCUAAGGAACCCGAUCCUAGUGACCUAAAGCUCCAAGAUACCUUUUCUUUGUAGUUAACUUCAUUUAUUGUUUUUGCUUAACUUAAAAUCAAUCUUUGCAACCACAAUUCCAUUUUCUUUAAAAGCUAAUUUUUAUAAGGAAAAACACCAUUUUAUUUCCUUCACUAAGUCAACUGUACGAUGAAAACCCAUCCCUGUGGACGAUCCUAGAGCCACUAUACUAUGUUAGCUAUGCUACCCUAGUGUGAGGUGAUUUAGGUUUUAUAAAUUUUUUUGAUAACACCCAUCUGAGCCAGAAUCAAAUGGCACGACUGAACCAGGGACGAAUCAAAUGACGCCGCUACCAAGGAUGGUGCCAAAGUACAUUGACAUGACUUUUGGUGAACACUUGUGAUCUUCACCACAAGUUUGGUGAUUUUUCUUUUACUAAUUUUUUUUAUUUUAGCUUAUCUUUUAUUUAGUUUUUAGUUAACCUUAAAUUUUUCCUAGAAUUGUAUUUCUUUUGUUUUCUUUGUUUUUGUUUCAGUGAUCUUUAGUUGUGCAUGCCCUAUUGGAUAAGAGAUAUUGAGGGAAUACUUGUGAAGAUUGAAACUCCUCGAGAAACUGAGUUAGAAGUGUGCUUGAACAUCAUGGAUGUUCCACCUGAAGACCAGAAUAGCCAACAUGGUUAAGAGGAUAAUUUCAACACAUACCGAUCCAUGAGGAACCGCAUACAUCCACCUUGUAUGAGUGCACCGUCAGGCAUAAUGCCUCCCACUGAGCAGCUAGUAAUCUGACCUCACAUUGUGCCACUCCUACCUACUUUCCAUGGGAUGGAGAGUGAGAAUCCCUACUCGCAUAUUAAGGAAUUCGAGGAGGUUUGUAAUACAUUCCAAGAAGGAGGAGCUUCAAUUGACUUGAUGAGGCUCAAGCUAUUUCCUUUCACUUUGAAGGAUAAGGCCAAGAUUUGGCUUAAUUCUUUAAGGCCAAGAAGUAUCCAAACUUGGAUUGAUUUGUAAGCCGAGUUUCUUAAGAAGUUCUUCCCUACCCAUAGGACCAAUGGUUUGAAAAGGCAAAAUUUGAACUUCUCAGUUAAAGAGAAUGAGAAAUUCUAUGAGUGUUGGGAGAGCUACAUGGAAGCUAUUAACGUUUGUCCUCACCAUGGCUUUGACACAUGGCUCUUAGUGAGCUAUUUUUACAAUGGUAUGUCUUCUUCAAUGAAGCAACUCCUAGAAACUAUGUGUGGAGGAGACUUCAUGAGUAAGAAUCCGGAGGAAGCCAUGGACUUUUUGAGUUAUGUGGCUGAAGUUUCAAGAGGAUGGGAUGAACCAAAUGCUAGAGAGGUGGGAAGAAUGAAGUCUCAACCUAAUGCUAAGGGUGAGAUGUAUGUUUUGAAUGAAGACAUUGACAUGAAAGCAAAGGUUGCAGCUAUGGCAAGGAGAUUGGAAGAGCUAGAAAUGAAGAACAUACAAAAAGUGCAAGCCAUUUCUGAGACAUCAAUGAAAGCUAUGCCUUGUUCCAUUUGUCAAUCUUAUAAGCACCUAGUGGAGGAGUGUCCUACAAUUCCAGCAGUGAGAGAGAUGUUUGGUGAUCAAGCAAAUGUUAUUGAUCAAUUCAAGCCUAAUAACAAUGCUUCAUAUGGCAACACCUACAAUUCAAAUUGGAGGAACCAUUCAAAUUUCUCUUGGAAACGAAAGCCACCUCAAUACACACAACCUACUCAAGCACCUUAGCAAUCCUCGAAUCUUGAACAAGCUAUUGUGAACCUUAGCAAGGUUGUGGGAGACUUUGUGGGAGAUCAGAAGUCCAUCAAUGCUCAACUGAAUCGGAGAAUUGACAGUGUGGAGAGUACAUUGAACAAAAGGAUGGAUGAGAUGUAAAAUGAUCUGUCUCAAAAGAUAGACAAUGUCCAAUACGUAAUCUCAAGGCUUACCAACCUCAACACAGUGUAAGAGAAAGGAAAGUUUCCUUCUCAACCUCAUCAAAAUCCUAAGGGUAUCCAUGAAGUAGAGGCUCAAGAGGGAGAAUCUUCAAAGGUGAGGGAAGUCAAAGUAGUUAUCACCUUGAAGAGUGGUAAAGAGGUUGAUCAACCCACAUCCAAGCCAAAGCAUAAUGAAGAGAGUGUAGCAGAAAAAGAAAAGAGAGGAAAAUAAAGGAAUUAGAAUAGAGAAAAAUACAAAGAAAGAUGACCAUGAGUCUAGUGUGGAUGAAGAGCCCGAGAGGAUGGUGAUCAAGGAAGAUAUGAUGAAGAAACACAUGCCUCCACCUUUCCCCUAAGCUUUGCAUGACAAAAAAAGAACCAAUAAUACAUCAGAAAAUUUUGAAGUAUUGAGGCAAGUGAAGGUCAAUAUCCCUUUGCUAGACAUGAUCAAACAAGUGUCGACAUAUGAAAAAUUCUUGAAGGACUUGUGCACUGUAAAGAGAGGGUUGAAUGUGAACAAGAAAGCUUUAUUGACCGAGCAAGUGAGUUCCAUCAUACAGUGCAAGUCCUAGUGAAGUACAAAGAUCCGGGUUGCCGUACCAUCUCAGUGAGUAUUGGAAGGACUUGUGUGGAGAAAGCUUUGUUGGACUUGGGAGCAAGUGUGAAUUUGCUAUCCUACUCUGUCUAUAAGCAGUUGGGAUUUGGAGAGUUGAAGCCAAUAUCCAUCACUCUAUCUCUAGCGGAUAGAUCAAUGAAGAUUCCAAGAGGGAUGAUCGAAGAUGUCCUGGUUCAAGUUAACAAAUUCUACUAUCCAGUAGAUUUUGUUGUUCUUGAUAUGGAUCCGGUUGUCAAAUGAACUAAUUAUGUUCCUAUCAUACUUGGAAGACCCUUCCUAGCUACAUCAAAUGCAAUCAUCAAUUGUAGGAAUGGAGUCAUGCAACUCACAUUUGUCAACAUGACAUUAGAGCUCAACAUCUUCCAUUUGUACAAGAAGCAUAUCCAUCAGGAGGAAAAAGAAGGUCUAGAGGAAGUGUGAAUGAUUGACACUUUAGUGGAAGAGCAUUGUGAUCGAGAAUGCAAAAAGAUUUAGUUGAGAAUUUUGGGGAUCUUGAUGAAAGGUUACUUGAACCCUCAGAUUUGCUUGCUACCCUACUCCAUUGGAAGAGAAGAGAAGAAAUUCUACCCUUAUUCAAUGAGGAGGAGACGCAAAGAGCUGCAAAGGAGAAACCCCCAAAACUUAUUCUUAAGCCACUACCCACAGAGUUGAAGUAUGUAUACUUGGAAGAAGACAAGAAGUGCCCUAUUGUUAUAUCUUCAACUCUUACCAUUCAUCAGGAGGAUUGUCUACUUGAAGUCCUUAGAAGAUGUAAGAAGACAAUAAGGUGGCUAAUUUCUUAUUUGAAAGGGAUCAGCCCUUUAGUCUGCACCCAUCAUAUUUACAUGGAGGAUGAAGCUAAGCUAAUUCAUCAACCUCAGAGAAGGUUGAACCCUCACAUGCAAGAGGUGGUUCGAGCUGAAGUUCUGAAGCUACUUCAGACCAGUAUUAUUUACCCCAUAUCAAAUAGCCCAUGGGUGAGUCCUACUCAAGUUGCGCCAAAGAAGUCUGGGAUCAUGGUGGUGCAAAAUGAUAAGGGAGAAGAUGUCUCUACACGCCUCACUACAGGUUGGAGGGUGUGUAUCAAUUACAGGAGGUUGAAUGCAGUGAUAAGAAAGGACCAUUUCUCAUUGCCCUUUAUUGAUCAGGUGCUUGAGAGGGUCUCUGGGCUUUUUUUUUUAUUGUUUCUUGGAUGGCUACUCCGGGUACUUUCAGAUAGAAAUUGAUGUUGAAAACCAAGAUAAGACCAUUUUCACAUGCCCAUUUGGAACCUAUGCAUAAAGGAGAAUGCCUUUCGGCUUAUGCAAUGCACCCGCAACUUUCCAAAGAUGCAUGUUAAGCAUUUUCAGUGAUAUGGUGGAGCGUAUUAUGGAAGUCUUUAUGGAUGAUAUCACCAUUUAUGGAAGUGCAUUUGAUGAAUGCUUGGUCAACUUAGAAGCUGUUCUGAACCGAUACAUUGAGAAAGACUUAGUGCUUAACUGGGAGAAGUGCCAUUUCAUGGUACACCAAGGGAUUGUCCUUGGGCACAUUAUCUCCAAGCAAGGCAUUGAAGUUGACAAAGCAAAGGUUGAACUCAUUGUUAAGUUGCCAUCCUCAACAAAUGUCAAAGGAGUAAGGCAAUUCUUUGGCCAUGUCGGGUUCUAUAGGAGGUUUAUCAAGGAUUUCUCUAAGCUUGCAAGGCCUCUUUGUGAAAUAUUGGUGAAUGAUGUUAAAUUCAUAUGGGAUGAUGGAUUUGAAAGGAGUUUUGAAGAAUUGAAGCUAUUUUUGACAACCGUACCAAUAGUGAGGGCUCCCAACUGGCAACUGCCCUUUGAAGUAAUGUGUGAUGUCAAUGAUUUUGCUAUAGGAUUUUUUCUUGGGCAAAGAGAAAAUGGAAAACCUUAUGUGAUCUACUAUGCGAGGAAGGCAUUGAAUGAGGCACAAAGAAACUACACAACCACCGAGAAAGAAUUGUUAGCUGUAGUUUUUGCCUUGGAUAAGUUUCGCGCUUACUUGGUGGGGUCCUUCAUCAUGGUUUUUACUGAUCACUUUGCUUUGAAGUAUCUGUUGACUAAGCAAGAUGCUAAAGCAAGGCUGAUUAGAUGGAUUCUCUUACUUCAAGAGUUCAAUCUCCAUAUCAAAGAUAAGAAAGGAGUGGAGAAUGUGGUAGCAGACCACAUUUCAAGGCUAGCUAUCGCACAUAAUUCCCAUGCUUUGCCCAUUAAUGACGAUUUUCUAGAGGGGUCUCUCAUGUUGGUGGAAGUUGUCCCUUGGUACGCUCACAUUGCUAACUACCUGGUCACGGGAAAAGUUCCAAGUGAGUGGAAAGCACAAGAUAAGAAGCACUUCUUUGCAAAAAUUCAUGCCUACUAUUGGGAAGAGCCAUUUCUAUUCAAGUAUUGUAUGGAUCAGAUAAUAAGGAAGUGCGUUCCUGAAGAAGAGCAACAGGGGAUCCUUAGUCAUUACCAUGAAAAUGCAUGUGGAGGCCACUUUGCUUAUCAAAAGACAGCCAUGAGGGUGUUGCAAUCGGGUUUCUGUUGGCCAUCACUUUUCAAAGAUGCCCACACCAUGUGCAAGAGUUGUGAUCGAUGCCAGAGGCUUGGGAAGUUGACACGCAGGAACAUGAUGCCUUUGAACCCCACUUUAAUAGUUGAUAUUUUUUAUGUUUGGGGCACUAACUUCAUGGGACCUUUCCCUAUGUCUUUUGGCUACUCUUACAUCUUGGUAGGAGUAGAUUAUGUUUCUAAGUGGGUUGAGGCAGUCCCAUGCAAACACAAUGACCAUAGAGUGGUUCUCAAGUUUCUUAAAGAGAAUAUCUUCUCAAGAUUUGGGGUGCCCAAAGCCAUAAUUAGUGAUGGGGGUACUCAUUUUUGCAACAAGCCUUUUGAAACUCUCCUAGCCAAGUAUGGGGUGAAGCAUAAGGUAGCUACACCUUACCACCCUCAAACUCAUGGACAAGUUGAGUUAGCAAACAGGGAGAUUAAAAACAUAUUGAUGAAGGUGGUGAACACAAACAGAAAAGAUUGGUCAGUCAAGCUUCUUAAUUCACUAUGGGCAUAUAGAACAACUUACAAGACCAUUCUCGGGAUGUCUCCUUAUCGCCUAGUUUAUGGCAAAGCAUGCCAUCUCCCUGUGGAAUUGGAAUACAAAGCUUGGUGGGCAAUCAAGAAGCUCAACAUGGAUUUGAGCAGAGCUGGGUUGAAGAGGUUCUUAGACCUUAAUGAGAUGGAGAAAUUGAGAAAUGAUGCCUACAUCAAUUCAAAAAUUGCAAAAGAAAAAUUGAAGAGGUGGCAUGAUCAGUUGAUUUCCCGCAAGGAUUUUCAAAAUGGACAAAGAGUCUUACUUUAUGACUCUAAACUCCACAUCUUUCCGGGCAAGCUGAAAUCAAGGUGGAUAGGUCAUUUUACCAUUCACCAAGUGCAUUCAAAUGGAGUAGUGGAACUACUCAACUCCAACAAUAUCGAGAACUUCAAAGUGAAUGGCCACCGUCUCAAGCCCUUUGUGGAGUCUUUUUCUCACAACAAGGAGAAAUUCAUCCUCCUUGAUCCACAUCAAGCUUAACAAGACCAAUUUUCUUGAUGGACUUAGUCUUUCUAAAGACUAUCGAGUCCAUAACUUUUUGUUUUAUUUUUUAUUUGAGAUUUUUUCGGUAUUGUUACUUGUUUUGUUUUUUAUUUUUCGUUUUAAUUUUAUUUGGUUUGAUUUAACUUAGGUUUUUGAUGAUCAAUUACAGGGGGGAUUUCAAAUAGAGGAAAAACCAAGAUAAUUCGCACACCCUACGAAAAUUUCGCAAGGCAUGCGAAAUUUAUGGCUUAUUUUGCAUGGGGUGAAAAUUUUCGUACAUCUUACGAACCAAUUUCGAACACUUUGCGAAAAUAAACCAACCCUGCGAAAUCAUUUCGAUUACUCUACGAAAUUUUCGUAGAGCAUGCGAAAAAUUUAGCACACCAAACACCAUUUCGCAUACUAUGCAAAAACCUAAGGGGUCUGCGAAACCAUUUCGCACCUCCAAAUCCAUUUCGCACAUUGUGCGAAAACCAAGAGGCGCUGUGCGAAAAUGAAAAGUCGCCCUGUCAUCCCUUUUUAAACCCCUCGAGCCCUAAAAUCUCCAUUUCGCAAGCACCCCUGUCCUUGCGAAUCCCUCAUUUUCCUCUACUACCUUGCAACCUCGUCCCUUUCCAUUUGAUAUUGUGCCCCGCGCACAUCUCAUUUCAGAGACUCGCACUCCGCGCCCCCUCAAAGCAUGGACUCGAGACCCACCUUCCAUUUCCGACGUGGCACGGACCCAAGGAGCCCUUUCUGCCCCUUCACUAAGACACACACCAAGGCAGAAAGCCUCCUUUGCUCAAGUGCCUAGUGAUUCUCCAUCUUAGGCCUCAGAGGCCUCGGAGGCCCCGUGGAUUCCACCUUCCGAGGGUAGAGCAGCCAUUGGUCCUUCCUCUUCUACUCCUUAGCGUAGAUACGAGACGAGGAGACCACCUACUACACAAGGGGCGACUACUUCGAGCCUUGAGAAUUCAGUACGAUGCCUUCCUGCCAAGAGGGUCAAGACUUCAGGUCCAAGUGAGUCAUCCAGAGCUUCAUAGCCUAAGCCUCCUGUAGAUUCCAAGGUUCCUACUGACAUAUCACCGGAGUCUAUUAUCAGAAGCCCGAUGCUCAUAGCACCGCCCAUUGAGGGCAACUCAGAUUAUAGAGCGAGAUCUUUCCACUUGGAGCUAUAUUUUGAUCAGGAGGCCAUACGACAGCAGCCUGAGCUCCGAGACUCUUAUGGCUUACUGCAGAGGUACCAUCUUGAGGAACUUAUGACUCCUCGUGAGUUUUUUUAUCCCAGAGUAGCACUAAACUUUUACCAGUCCAUGACUACUCGUGGCGUCCCGAGUCCUACCACGAUUCACUUCACCAUUGAUAGACGUCAUGGUAUCCUCAAGGCCAGACAUAUUACAGAGGCUCUACAAAUUCCUUUCGAGCUAGAGGAUCCAUCUGUUUUUCGCUAAUGGUCCCCAGUAUCUCAGAGGGACAUGGUCCGUAUUUUAUCUAGGGGAACAUCUACAGAUUCGAUCUUUCUACGGAAGGAGCUUCGACCUGGGAUGCUCCUCUUAGAUGUGGUGCUAUGCUCCAACCUCUUUCCCUUACAACAUUCGGUACAUAGGUGAUGAGCUAUUUUGGACGCUUUAUUCCGUAUAUCAGAGGGCUUCUACUUUGGCCCGCACCACUUGAUCAUGGUCUCCCUCAUCCACUUUGAGGAGAAGGUUCAUAGGAAGAAGCUUCAGAGGGUGGACACCAUUCCAUUACUAUUCCUGAGGUUACUUUGCCAGGUCUUGGAGUACAUGGGCUUUCCUACUGAGCCUCGGCUCGAGCUUUGCCGCCUUUGUCGAGAGUGAUCCACUCUCGACAAAUGGAAUUAGUUGGCGGGCUAUUCUGCACCUCCAGGAGCCCCUCCCAUGGUAGCACCUCCAAUGUCCCCACAGGCAAAGUAGGGCGAGCUCCCGGCAAAGACUGUACCACCAAUGCCCACACUUGAGGCUAUUUCUGCUGCUCUGCCUAUGACUCCUACUGUUCCACCAGUUGGUCCUUUUACAUCCGAGCCUUCCAUCACCAUCUCGGCUUCGGAGUUUCGCGCCCUUGUGCAUACCUUUCAGACACUCACCACCACACAUACUCCUCUCUUCUAGCAAAUGGUUGAGAUGUGUGCCCAUCAGGACCGGAAGACUACUAUACUCUGCCAAAUUCAGCAGCACCUAAGACUUUUGCCUCAACCUCAACCUAACCAUCCCAUAUCAUCAGAGCCUCUAGCUCCAACUGAGGAUACUAUUCCACCUGAGAACACUACCACAGUAGAGGUCCGGUUUCCACCACCUUAAGAGGCCACCACAGCUACAUCAGAGGAUGUGUCAUCUCCACUUGAGGCUCCCACUACUUGAUCAUAGGACAUAUCUUUAUCUUAUUGUAUUUACAUAUUAUAUUACUAGAGAUUUGUCCUUGUUUUGAUACUUUAUAUUCUGGGAUUGGAUGUAUUGCCUGAUGAUAUCUCAAUUGUACUUUCUCAUAUUAAUAUAUAGACAUCAAUUUUUUUUAGUAUACUUAGCAUUUUUCUAUUUCCUCUACUCAUUACUCUUUUGUUUUUUUUUACUCAUGUGGUUUCUCUUAUACAACUCAGACUCCAUUUCACUCAGGAGGUACCACUUCCUCCCUUUAUUUUCAAUUGCUCUUGAAAUAUUGAGUGCAAUGUUGAUCUUGGUUGGGGGGAGAGUUGAGGAAGGAAGUUUUGUUAAUAAUGCUAGGUUAAUUUGUUAAUUUAGUUACUUUCUGCUUAAUUUUAAAAGUUUUCACUCUACUUUCCAUGGUUAUUAAGGAAAAAUUCUCAAAAUGAAAUGGGAGAAAUCGAAUUCUUGCAUUUUUACUUGAAUCUUAGAAUUUGUAUCAUGCUUAUUAAAGUUGAUGAAUUAUUGAAACUCCUAUUGAAUUCAACCUUAUUUUUUCCACUUUAAUCUUACCACACACGGUGCACAUUAGGUUCCAGUUAUAAGAUAAAAAACUAUCUCACCCCCUAAACUUAGAAAAAUUUACACUUGGUACCUUUGACAUCGUUUUAAUAGUGUUGGGACACCUUAUAAAAGGCCAAUGAGCCUUUAAAAAAAAAAAAAAAAAAAAAAAGAGAAAGAACAAAGUAUUGCACUUGCCUUGAAACCUGAGCAAGAUCCGAGGGGUAUACAGUGAAAGUCUUUAAAACCUGGUGCCCUAAGCCUUGAUUGGUUGGGAGUCACCGACCUCAAUGCUCGUUAUAAGGGUGAAUAGGUGGAGUUUAACAUAUUGUAGGUGCUUGGGUAUUGAAUUUCAAUCUCAAAAGUCCGGGAAAAAAUCUAAGGAGUUAGUGGUCAAAAGAUCCUUAAAGCUUGAUGCCCUAAACCUUGAUUGGUUGAGAGUCAUUGAUGGAUCCCCGCUACAUGGACAUUUUAGAAAACAAUACCUUUAGCAUUGCACGCCUACAAUGAAAAAAAAAUGUGAAAUAAAAGAGGUGCGUUCUUAGCCUAUUGGAGGUUGGUCAGUUUGCUAAAGUUUGAGAAAUCUAGGUUGGGGGGAGAGAAUAGUCCGACAUACUAUAAUAAAAAACUAAUAACCUUAACACUUAGAUUUUUGUGGAAGAGUAAGGAUUGGACCUUUAGGGGUGGAAAUUCUUUUGAUGCUUAAAUUUGCAUAAUGCCUACUCUUUAUAAAUUAUGAUUAGGCAAGAGAUUUGAUGACUCUUGUUCAAAGUUGGGUUUUUCCUCUUUGAUGUUCCAUGAGAGAGUAUAAUCCUCAUCAUGCCACUUGAAAUCUUUUUGGAGUGAUUAACAUGAUUUUGUAAAUUAUUUUACUGUCUAUUUUUCUUUAUCUCUCUUUUAUUGCUAAUGGACUAGCAAUAUGUCAGUUGGGGGGAGUGAUUACUACUCAAAAAGUACUCUUUUAUAGCUUGAAACUAACUGUUUUAAACACUUUUGAGUAGGUGUUAAUACAUUUUAACUCAAUUGGCACAUUAAGGAACCUAACAAGGGUUACUAAUAAGUUUUUGGCAAGUUUUGGUGUUUUUGGUAGCUAUUUGAUCAUUGAAACAAGCCAAGAAUGAGGGAGAAUUUUGUGAAGUCCAUAGCAAUGCAAGUUAAAGCUCAAAUACAUGAAGAAUCCAAGCUUUGAAGCACUUCAUAGCCCUUUGCGAAGCCAAUCAGAGAUGCAAGGAAGAAAACCAGAGGAAAAAAUCCAACAACCAGCAUUUUCGCAUGGCUGUGCGAAAUUUUGCACACCAUGCGAAACCACAAGAAGUAGCCAAAGAAUUUUGCACACCAUGCGAAAUUUCGCAUGGUAUACGAAAUCUUCCUAUGCACCAACUCCGUUAUAUUUUUAUCUUCAGAUAUUUUGUGUAAUUUCCUAGUUUCUCCUUGUAACCAACCUAGAUAUUUUCUUUUAUAUCUUUUUUUUAUAUUUUUUAGGUAACAUCAUAUAUAGGGGGAGAGACAUAAGGAGGAUAUGGAUGUUUUUCAUAAAACACUUUUAAUUUUCUGGUAGUAAGAAAUAUACAAAGUUUUUUGCUCUGCCUUACCUUCUCAUUUUGUUUUCACCUAUCUUUCUAGCCAAACAACCUCUGAGAAUGAUUUCUCAGGGGAUGAGUAGUUAGGUUUUACGUUUCUUGGAGUGAGAGAAGCUAGGUGAAAGACCCAAAUGCUAAGGUGGGAGUUGUCCUUGCUUUAAAUGAAAGUAGUUGUUAAAUAUUAAUGGUUUUUAUUUUAAGGUUUAGCUUUAAAUCCCUUAAAAACACCUUGAAUGGCCAAUACUUGGUAAGCUUUUCGGAUUCUAUGGAUGCUUAUUGCUAGAUCCAUGGAUGUCAUUAGUUAUCAUUUAUGAGCCAUUGGAAGGUGGUUCAAGAUGAGAGUCUUUAGUGUUUGAAGCCAUUAAUGGGAAACAAUUACCAUUUUUUCAUGAAUCCUUUGGAUAAAAUCUUAAUUGCUAAAUAUAAAACUGGUUCGGGAGAUAACCAUCCUUUAUGUUAUUAUGCCCAAUGCAAGGAGAAGAUUUCGAAUCUUCUCAUUUGUCUAAGGAACCCGAUCCUAGUGACCUAAAGCUCCUAGAGACCUUUUCUUUGUAGUUAACUUCAUUUAUUGUUUUUGCUUAACUUAAAAUCAAUCUUUGCAACCACAAUUCCAUUUUCUUUAAAAGCUAAUUUUUAUAAGGAAAAGCACCAUUUUAUUUCCUUCACUAAGUCAACUGUAUGAUGAAAACCCAUCCCUGUGGACGAUCUUAGAGCCACUAUACUAUGUUAUCUAUGCUAUCCUAGUGUGAGGUGAUUUAGGUUUUAUAAAUUUUGUUGAUAACACCCGUCUGAGCCAGAAUCAAAUGGAACCACUGAACCAGGGACAAAUCAACAGCCUAUAUGGGAGGGACACAAGUUUAAUUGAUUUGCAUUUCAGCGUUAUAGAUAAGUAUGUUUUGGAAGAUUUGUUCUGGAAAUACUGCACCAAGUACGAUUCUUUUUCUCUUGAGUGAGUCCAUUUGCAUGCCAAUUAACGAGUUGAAAAGUAGGAGCACCUACCUCGUGCUCAUGGAACCGAAUGUCAGUGAAGUGGGGCUCCUUUUAGCCUCUUGUGUUUCUGUUCCAACCAAGGCGGCGUAGGGAAAAACAACAAUAUGUCUGUGCUAAAUAUCAACGCAUGAUAGAUGUUUUUUUUUUUUUUUUUGGUAUGUCAAGGCUAACGAAUGAAAUGCAUUAGCUUGUUUUGUGACUAUAACUGCAAAUGUCCAAAUUGGAGUAUCUCCAUUUCUCACUUCGGAUGGUUAACUUUAUAAACAAGAUAUAGGAAACAUGUGAACAUCUUGAGGAACAAUUCAAAUUAUUCAUUAGAAGUCCUGGGUUAAGUUCCAAGAUUUAAAUCAGACCCUUCUAGCAGCUUCAAGGGUACUUAGCAACCUAUAACAUAUUAAUGAAGAUUUAGGAUUUAGACUCCGGAAUACAAAUAAAUAUGUAUCUCAUGCUUUGACUAGCUUCCCUACAUAUGCAUAAAAUGGAGAUGACCCAAAAAAAAUAGCAGAAUCUAGCUUCCCUACAUAUGCACAAAAUGGAGAUGACCCAAAAAAUAGCAUAAUCGCCUUAGUUUCUGUGGUUAAGGUGAUUCUCCGCUUAAUAUCCACAUUGACUCAUUAUGCAAAAUCAACUGAGCUAAUUUUAUUUAUUUAUUUAAUGUCAAAUAGGAACUCCUAAUUAACUGAUUACUGUCGAAAAGUGCUAUUUUGUAGACCUAAUUAUAAGGGUUUUAAGCACCUUUGAGUAGUAAUCAUAUUCAUUUAACCUAAUUAAUUCAUUAAGCUCCUUAGUAAUUAGUUCUAACCAUUUUUAGUGGCAAGUUUACAUGUUUUUCAUCAGCUUAUGAACCAAUUCAAGCAUGCCAAUUGAUGGAGGAGCUACUUGGGCGAGUUAAGCAAGGAUUUUGGACGUUUACAGGCUUGAAUUUCAAGUGGAAACACGAGCACAAGCAAUGGGAACACCAUUUCGCAAGGGGAGGCAAUUCACCUUGCCAAAUGACCAAUUUCGCAAGGGGAUUUUCCUCAUGGUGCAAAAUUUGGUCAUUUCGCACCAUGAAGAAACCACCUUGCAAAAUUUCGCAAGGUGGAUUUAGGCACCUUGCGAAAUGCCAAAUUUCACAAGGUGGCUUUUCACCUUGCGAAAUUUGGACCUUUCAUCUUCCCCCCUUGCGAAAUGCCUUUGAAAUCCCCUGUUUUGAGACGCUGUUGAUGAUAUUCCACUGCCGGUUCUCCAAGAUAUUUUGCUUGACUUUUAGCUUUAUAAAUACCUAUUUUACCCUUGUAAUCAACCAAUGAAAAGGUUGCUUUUGUAAUAGCUCUUGUAAUUUAGCUUUUUAUUGUCUUUAAAUAGAGGUGAAGAGCCUCAGACACGAUCAUCUUGUAACCUGUAACUUUAUAAGUUAUAAGAGCACUUUUGUUCAUACGCUUCUUUUCUCUUUUCUUUCUCAUUUUCUUAGUAGCCAAACAUCCUUGGAGGAUGAAAUCCCCAAGGAUGAGAGGCUAAAACCUUUUAGUUUCUUGAAGUAAUGGAUGCCAUGUGAAGCUCCCGUGUCAGGAUGGAGAUUUCCAAGCCAUAAAUGUAAGUAGCUGAGCGUCAUAAAUGUUUUCAUUCAAAGUAAAGCUUUUAAUCCCUCUGACUUGCUUUGAAUGGCCAAUACUUGAUAACCUUUUGGUCUCAAUGGAUUCUUAUUGUUAGAUCCACUGACGUUCAUUAGUUAUCUCCUACGAGCCAUUGUAUUGCAAGUCGAGGAGAUGACCUAUACCAAUAAAAGAGCAUUUAUGAGGUUCAACUACCCUUUUUGUAAGUUUUCAAGGACUAAAACUCAGUUGUUAAACUCAUACCGGUUCGAGAAGUAAGCAUCACCUUAGUUGCUUCCCCAACUCGAGGUGAAAAGUCCCAAAAUCUCCAUUUUUACACAGUGAGUUAAGCAUGGCUAUCCAAAGCUUUAAGAAACUUCUUUUUCCAUCUUUUAACCUAUUUUCAUGUUAGUUUAGUUUACAACACCUUCAUCUUUUUAUGUUUUCAUCUUAACCUAAUUUUUAUUAAGAAAAGUUCACUCCAUCCUCCGAACUUCACCAGUUAAAGUAAAAACCCUUCCCAGUGUUCGAUCCUAGAGCCACUAUGCUAUAGUAGCUUUGCUACUUUAGUGUAAGGACCUUAGGUAUAAAUUUUGUUGAUACCCUUACAUGCCAAGCUACCAAGAGUCGGGUUAUCAUUAACCUAACCAUUGGCCUGUGUAAAUUGAUUUCACAUGCACAAUGUUGUAGUAGAAGUCCAUAUUUUGAAUUUUAUUUUUGUAAAGGUAAGGAAAAUGAAGCAUUGUGUAAUUAUAAAAAUAACUUCAUUGGAAUUCACAAGGUUCACCCAAAAUGGAGCUACAUCUGUAUUCUAUCCUACAGUAGACUAUAUAGAUUGUACAAUAGUAAAUUGCAAAUACAAUUAAUAAGUCUUGUGCUUCCUUACUAAUAAUCCUUUGACAUGAACAUUGCAGCACUAAGGUCCUCUUGGGAAGACACCUUGCACCCAUGAGAGCACUAAGAGGAAGCAAGGCAGAGUCAUGGGUGCAAUGUCAUGACUUGUUGUUGCACCAAGAGAGGCUUGGUGAUGCCAUGGUGUUGCAGUAGCAAGAAUGUUGCCUUGGCAGGGACACGAUCUAGGGAUAGAUGCCAAGAAAGGCUUAGCACUCACAUGAGUUGCACAAAGAUGAAUGUAAUAGAGCAUCAGAGAGACGUCUUGGCAAGUAAAUGAAUGGAUCCAAGAGACAACAACAUGAGGAGUUUCAAAUGGAUAAGGAAUGACUCAAAGACAUUUGAAAGCUACAAGUUGGAUUCUAAUUACGAUUGCAAUUUGAGUUUGAGUAGGAGUUUAGAUUUUGAUUGUAAUUGUAGUAUGAGUUGGACUAGGAUUGCUUAUCCUUAGUCAAUAUAGGAGCGGUUCGUGUCACCCUAUGAAAAGAGUUUGAGUAGGGACUAGGAUUGCUUACUCCUAGUCAAAUAUGGAGUAGGUGGUGCCACACCUAUAAAAAAAAGGGACAACAUGAGAGAGAGAGAGAGAGAGAAAGAGAGAGUGAAUUCACUAAAGAUAUUGUGGGAGUUUUGCUUUGUUACGUCUUGUAUUAUUACUUAGAAUAGGAAUAAAAUACAAGUUGGGGCUAGAGCCCCAUAAUUAAUCUCGUGUGCCUUUGUGGUUAUUCUUUAUUUGUCAUCUCGUGUGGAUUGGAUUAGGUUGACUUAGAGGGCUUCUAAGCACCACCUUUGUGGGUUAUUAUUUAUUUUCCAUCUCUUGUGGAUUAGAUUAGGUUGACUUAGAGGGCUUCUGAGCACCACCUUUGUGGGUUAUUAUUUAUUUUCCAUCUAUUGUGGAUUAGAUUAGGUUGACUUAGAGGGCUUUUAAGCACCACAUUUGUGGGUUAUUCUUUAUUUUCCAUAUCGUGUGGGUUGGAUUAGGUUGACAAGGAGAAAAAUUAUGUGGGAAAUUUGUGUUGGGACACUUACCAUAACCAAGUAAAAUCUACCAAGUCCUUUGUAAUAUCUUCAACAAAUAUUUUAGACUAGUUCUUUCAGUUAGUGUAAAGGAGGAAGAAGUGGUAUUGAUUCUAGAAAUAGGGUGUGUGUAUUUGAACUACAAUCCUUAUGAUCCUUAGGUCUCUAAACCUUCGUGAUGGGCUCCCUGACAUUUCAUAGGUUGUGCUACACAUGCGUUUGAAAUUUAGAGUGCGUUUGACAGUGAUUCCGGGAAGUGUUUUUGGCCUUUCUUACACUUGAAAAUUUUUAUUUUUCAAGUAUUAGAAAUGCUACAAACACUUUUGAAAAUUACUGUCAAACACACUCUUAGGAGCGCACAUAUAUAGUAGAAAACUAGAAAUUGUGGUUUUUUUAGGAUUUACUGUAAUGUCAUUAGGAGGGUAGUAAGUUGAAAUUGAGUAUGAACAAAUAUUUCUUUCUUUGGGAUGUUCUUCUAGUAGGUGCUGAUGAAACUGUUCUUUCUACUGCCAAUGUCACAUAUCAGCCAGAAAUUGAAAAUUUCAGUCAAGGUGUCCUCUGUUUUAGUGGUGAGGAAAGCUAGAAAUUUUAAGGUGAAGUUUUGUUAAAAACCUUAAGUAGCUGGGAUAUCAGGCCUGUUUUGCUUGAAAAAAAAAGUUGCAAGAUAACUCAUAUGCCAAACAGGUUCUGAUAUUGUGAAUCUAUCGGCAGACAUCAGUAAUCUCAUCUUCUGAGAUGGAUGUUGGGGGUGCAUGUGGUGGUGGAGGGGCAAGGUUUCAUUUGGUUUAUUUUGUUGAUGGAUAUUGUCUAGCCACCUGCGCCAAGUUUGAGGGGUGGUGGGUUGUGAUGACCCUACAAUUACUAUUAAUUUCUUCAUCUUUUACCGAUUAAAGUGUCCGAACAGUCGAAGUUACCCUUAUGCAUGUCAACUUGAUCACUUACCUCUUCAAUGGAGUUUAUGCUGGUUCAUUUAGGAACUGAUUUUUAUUGUUAUGUAUUAUAUGCUGAUGUUUAGGUCUCUCCAUCAUCACUAUAUACAAAAAUUCUAGGUUGAUACUAUAGGUUGAGAUUUAUUUUUUAAAUAAAAAAUAAUAAAAAUAAAAAUUAUGGUGAUGUUUAGUUGUUUUAUGGAAAAUUUUAACAAGUAAAAGUUAUUUUUGGGCAAGUUUUCAAACAAAAAGAAAAGUAAAAGUUGUUUUGACAAAAACAUAUAGAAAAAAAAAUCAUAGAAAAUAAAUAAUUUCCCCAUAUUCUAACUUUUUUGAAUUUUUCUCAAUGGGCAAAGGAAUAUCAAAUCAAGUUUGAGUAGGAUUUCUUAAUUUUUAAAAUAACUUACAAUUAAAAAAUUUUGGUGUUUUCAUUUUUGGACAAUUUUUUAUUAAGCAAAUGGACUCUGAGUCAUGCAAGAGAUAUGGUUCAUUAACCGGUCGAACAAUUUUUUUAAAUUAAUUUAAAAGUCAAAUACAUAAUCAAUUUCACAAAAUUUAUAAACAAAAAUAGGUUUAGAGAAGAUCUACACAUAAUUUUACUUUUCUAAUUUUAUUUUAUUUUAUUUUUUGUUGGAAAAUAGUCUUCAAAUCAUGUAAGAUUUAAUAGGUUAAAUUUGUUAACAAUAAAUUUUAAAUUAUAAAAUAUAAUCUGGAACUCAAAAAUCAAUUCAAGUAAUGCUAAAAAAAAAUCAAAUUUGGUAUAGAAUGACUUUGUAAAUUUUUUUACAAAACAAAUGAAUUUUAAAUCAAGUGAGAUUUAAUGCAUUAGAUUUUUAUCAAAUAUAGUAAUUUUAAAAAUAAAUUUGGAACUCAACAAUAGACACAAUAAAUACCAAAAAAUAAUGAACCAAAAUUGGUUUGGAAUAACUCCACAACCUUUUUUUUUUUUUUUUGGUGCACACGAAUUUUCUUACUAGGUAUAUUGCUUUCAAAUUGAGAAAGAUUUACCAUUUAGAUUUUUUUUUAAUGAGUUUAAUGGUAUUUUAAAAUAAUUCAAAAUUUAAAAAAUUGACUAAUUAAUAUUAUAAAUUGAUAAACCAAGACUAUUUCAAAAUGCAUUGGGGGCUAAGGGGGUUGAAAAUAGGGACAAUGGGAUGGGUUUGGGACAUGACACUCAUAUCUCAUUUCCAUUCCAAUUACACAGUUAUCUCCCAUCCUUAUCCCAAACUUGUGUUGGAGCAAGUUGAUUUGUUCCCAUCUUUGUUGACGAAAUGACUAAUAACCUCAUCCCCUCCUUAUCUUAGAUGUACAUUUUGUCAAAUUUGAUCAGGUAUGAUUGAUCCAAGCCCUAACCCUAAUUGGUAAUGAGUGAAUACUACACCUAAUUGCAUUCUUCUUUCAUUGCAAAAUAAUGAGAUUAUAAUAAUCUAGCAAAUAAGAAAAAAUAGUAUGGAAGUUCAAAUUAACACCAUAACUAUCAAUAAUUUUAAGCUUAUAGAUGACUUAAAUGAUUAAAAACUAAUGCAAAAUCCUAAAAAAAAUAAAAAUCAUAUAAAGAAUUCACAAGAGAACAGAAUGAACAAAAACCAAAUAUGAACAUGGGUCAACAUUAGUUAUGGAUUUGGAUUCCUUUCAAGGCCAAUCUUUGAACCAAGACUUCAUCAAAUCAACUACUUCAAAGGCUUUUGUGUUCUUCUUGGGUUGUGCUCUCAAACAAAGACUUCGAGGUGAUGUUCUAGAUGAUUGAAUUACACAUAUUUAGGGUGGAGAGAUUGGAGAAGCUUGAAGAUGCCAACGAUGGGUACAAUUGAGUGGUCAAUAAGAACAAUGUAGCCUAUGACUAGUUUGAUGUCAUGGUACAAGAGUUUUAGGCAUUGAGGUUAAAGCAAGAGCAACAUGGAAUUGAUUUCGGAGUCUUUCAGUUAGUGUAAAGGAGGAAGAAGUGGUGUUGAUUCUAGAAAUAGGGUUUUAAGUGGUGCGUGAUUACUACUCAAAAAGUGCUAUUUGAUAGCCUUUAAUUAAUCCUUUUUAACACUUUUGAGUAGUAGUUUAGGCCUUUUAACUCAAUUGGCAUGUUAAGGAUCCUUUAAAGCAAUUUUGAUCACUUUGUGCAAGUUUUGGUGUUUUUGUUAGUAUUUUGAUCACCAAAGCAAGUCAAGAAUGAGGAGAACUAUGAGGAAUCAUGGGCAAAGCUUAGAAUUCAAUUGCCAAGAGUGAAUCCGGAUUGCAAGGAGAAAAAGCAAAGAGAAUCUGUCAUGAAGCCUAUUCUUGAUGACAGUCGUAGCAGCCACUUUUGGAGCACUUUCUGAAGUCCAAAUGAUGCAAGCUAUAUACCAUUUCAAAGAUCAGGAAGUCAACAAUCCAAUGCUUCAAACGGUGCGCGAUUCGGAGUUGAAACGAAGAAGUUGCAGCCAUUACAAGCCAGUCACUCUAAAGUGUUGCGGAAUCAGCCUUUUGUUGCGAGAAUUUCGCAGCACUUUUGUACAGUAAGGUGUUUCUCCUUCUGACGAUGCACGAACCAUGCCGCGAGAGGGAAGCUAGGAACUUCAAGAUGGAAGCCAACUUUGCAGCCUGGUGAAGAUAGCUUGGUCUUGCGAAAUAAUUUCGCAGCCCUCUUGGGUGUCUGCGAAAUUUCGCAGGCACCACUUUUUUCCUGCGAAAUGGCUCCGGAAGCCUCCCGAAGCUUGCUACCGACAUUGGGAGAUAUUUUCCAUUAGAUUUUUGUUGUCUAAAUUCCAAAAUACUCCUUGUAAACCACCAAUUACAUGAUUCCUUAGUUUUUAAGUUAGUAAAAAGACCAAAUAUCUAUGUAAUAAUUAGUUUUAUAUUAGUUUGCUAUAAAUACCUCUCGGGAGCAUGUUCUCAGAGAGGAGUUCCUUCUGUAACCAUUUUGGUAAGCAAGUAAAGUCUUUUCUUUCUACUGCCUUACCUUCUCACUUUGUAUUUUCAUUUUAUUUCUAAGUUAUGAAUUCUCUGAGGAGCUUUCCCCAGAGAAUGAGUAACUAAACCUCCAAUUCCUUGGAGCUAAGGUUGCCGGGGAAGGUUCCAAGUGCAAGAAUGCAAAGCUCUGUGGUUUUAGCUAGUAAUGAAGAGGAAGUGAAAUCCUUUAGUGAUUUCAAUGUUUUUAGUUAACUUAAAACACCUUGGAGUCACCUGGGCCAACACUUGGUAAGGCAAGUGAUUUCCAACCGUGGAAAUGCACUAGUUUACCCCUUGCGAGCCUCUGGUAGGUGACUUCAAGGUAGGAUUUUCUGGAAUUACCAACACUUGGUAAGCUUUUGGACUCCUAGGAGACAUCCAUUAGUUAUCUCUUGCGAGUUUGUGAAGGGGAAUCCAAGGUUAAAGAUCACCUUGAAUGGUAAGUGCUCGUGAGAGGCAUGAACCAUUGCAAGUUGUAUCAGUGAGAGAAUUAAAGUGAAAUCUAAUUGAAGGAGUCUCUGUACAUCACCGGUUAGAGAAUUGACUAUAAGUUGAAUCUCUAAUGCGAGGAAAUGAACCAUCUGACCGGAGCUAUGUCUUUUGCAUGAGGAACCACCCCAGUGAACCUAAAUCUCCAAGGAAUGCUUUUCUUCCUAAAUUAUUCCAAACUUCUGUUAAGUUAGUUAGUUUAAGUCUAAACCUUUACCAAUCAAACUUUGUGUUUUAUUUCUUAAGCUAACCGUGAAAUGAAACAAAACCAAUUCACUUGGAAUUGGUAUCCUUGAUUGCUUGCAAAUCAUUCCCAGUGAACGAUCCUUAGAGCCACUAUACUAUAGUAGCUUUGUAUUUGCUACCCUAGUGUAUGGUGUUAUAGGUAUAAAUUUUGUUGAUCACUUCCUCAAUCAAGGAACACCAGCUGAACACAAAUCAGCUGAGACACCAAUUGGGCAUGAGUCAAAUGGCGCCGUUGCCGGGGAAUGAGUGUCAAGAUCAUUGUGAUACCAUUUUUGAGCACUUGUGAUUUUCAUCACAAGUUGGUAAAGUUUCUUUCACUUUACUAAUUUUCAUUCUCUCUUUGUUUAUUUACAAUCUAAGUUUAUCUUUUUAAAAUUUAGUCUAGUUUAAUUUUGCUAUUGUAGCCUUGUUUCUCUUGUUGUCCUCUGUUCUUGUUGUCCUCUGUUUUCAUUUUAGUUGCAGCUGAAUACUAGUUGUGUAUGCCAAAGUGGAUACGAGACAUUGGAGGUAGGCUUAUUAAGUGUGAUACACCUCAGAGAGGAGAAUUGGAAGUAAUCUUGAAUAUCAUGGAGGCUGCACCUGAAGAUCAGCAUAGUCACCAAGGUCGUCAAGACAAUCUCAAUGAAUUCAGAUCAAUGAGGGACCGUAUGCAUCCACCUCGUAUGAGUGCACCAUCAUGUAUAGUGCCCCCUACAGAGCAACUAGUGAUCAGACCAUAUCUUGUUCCACUUCUACCAACUUUCCAUGGGAUGGAAAGUGAGAAUCCGUAUGCACACAUCAAGGAAUUUGAAGAUGUUUGUAAUACAUUCCAAGAGGGAGGAGCUUCAAUUGAUUUGAUGAGGCUUAAGUUAUUUCCUUUUAAUUUAAAGGAUAAGGCCAAAAUUUGGCUUAAUUCUUUAAGGCCAAGGAGUAUCCGCUCUUGGACUGAUUUACAAGCUGAAUUCCUCAAGAAAUUUUUUCCUACUCAUAGAACAAAUGGCUUGAAAAGGCAAAUUUCAAACUUCUCAGCUAAAGAGAAUGAGAAAUUCUAUGAGUGUUGGGAAAGAUACAUGGAAGCUAUAAAUGCUUGUCCUCACCAUGGCUUUGAUACUUGGCUACUGGUGAGUUAUUUUUAUGAUGGUAUGUCCUCCUCAAUGAAGCAACUCCUCGAGAAAAUGUGUGGAGAAGAUUUCAUGAGCAAAAAUCCAGAGGAAGCUAUGGAUUUCUUGAGCUAUGUAGCUGAUGUUUCAAGGGGAUGGGAUGAACCAACUAAAGGAGAAGUGGGAAAGAUGAAGUCUCAGUUGAAUGCUUACAAUGCAAAGGCUGGGAUGUAUACUUUAAAAGAGGAUGAUGACAUGAAAGCAAAGUUGGCAGCUAUGACAAGAAGAUUGGAGGAGCUGGAGCUGAAAAGAAUGCAUGAAGUGCAAGCUGUUGCUGAAGCACCAGUGCAAGUGAAGUUGUGUCCCAAUUGUCAAUCGUUUGAACAUUUGGUAGAGGAAUGCCCUGCAAUUUCAGCUGAAAGGGAAAUGUAUAGAGAUCAAGCAAAUGUUGUUGGACAAUUCAGGCCCAAUAACAAUGCUCCUUAUGGAAAUACCUACAAUUCAAGUUGGAGGAAUCAUCCAAAUUUUUCAUGGAAGGCCAGAGCAACUCAAUACCAACAGCCGGAUCCACCAUCUCAACAAUCUUCAAGUAUUGAACAAAUAAUAGCUAAUCUCAGCAAGGUAGUGGGAGAUUUUGUGGGAAAGCAAGAAGCCACCAAUGCUCGAGUGGAUCAAAGAAUGGACAGAGUGGAUCAAAGAAUGGACAGAAUGGAGAGUAUGUUGAACAAAAGAAUGGAUGGAAUGCAAAAUGAUAUGAAUCAAAAAUUUGAUAACAUCCAAUAUUCAAUUUCAAGGCUUACAAAUUUGAAUACACUGCAAGAAAAGGGAAGAUUUCCUUCUCAACCUAACCAAAAUCCCAAAGGUGUCCAUGAAGUGGAAAGCCAUGAGGGAGAAUCAUCACAGGUGAAAGAUGUGAAAGCUUUGAUCACUCUAAGGAGUGGUAAGAAAAUUGAGCAGCCAACACCCAAGCCACAUGUUGAGAAAGAAGAAGAGAUGAAGAAAGGGAAGGAAAUGGAAGAUAAAGGCAGUGAGAUCAGUGAAGAAAAGAAGGACUCUGAUGCAACAAUGAAAGUAAUUCCAGAGAAGGAGCUUCUGAAGGAAGAAAUGCUGAAGAAAUCAACUUUUCCACCUUUUCCUCAAGCAUUACAGGGGAAAAAGGGGGUUAGAAAUGCAGCUGAAAUCCUAGAAGUAUUGAGGCAAGUGAAAGUUAAUAUUCCACUGCUGGAUAUGAUCAAACAAGUUCCAACGUAUGCAAAAUUCCUAAAGGACUUGUGUACUAUCAAAAGAGGGUUGACUGUAAACAAGAAAGCCUUCUUGACUGAGCAAGUAAGUGCAAUCUUACAGUGUAAGUCUCCUUUGAAGUACAAAGACCCUGGAAGUCCUACCAUUUCAGUCAUGAUUGGAGGAAAGGUAGUGGAGAAAGCCUUGCUAGACUUGGGAGCAAGUGUGAAUUUGCUUCCAUAUUCUGUCUACAAGCAACUGGGACUUGGAGAGUUGAAGCCAACAGCAAUCACUUUGUCUCUGGCAGAUAGAUCAGUGAAAAUUCCAAGAGGGGUAAUUGAGGAUGUAUUGGUUCAAGUAGAUAAUUUCUACUAUCCUGUAGAUUUUGUUGUUCUUGAUACAGAUCCUACUGUAAAGGAAGCUAAUUUAGUUCCUAUCAUCCUUGGAAGGCCAUUUCUUGCAACUUCAAAUGCAAUCAUCAACUGUAGAAAUGGGCUUAUGCAACUCACUUUUGGUAACAUGACACUGGAUCUAAAUAUUUUCUAUAUGUCUAAAAAGCAAAUCACUCCAGAAGAAGAAGAGGGUCCAGAAGAGCUAUGUAUUAUUGAUACUUUGGUGGAGGAGCACUGCAAUCAACAUAUGCAAGAUAAGUUGAAUGAAAGUUUUGUGGAUAUUGAGGAAGGUUUUUCUGAAUCUCCUAAUGGGCUUGCUACUCUACAAAGUUGGAGAAAGAUAGAAGGAAUUCUACCUUUGUUCAAUGAAGAAGAGGAGGCAGCUGUUGAAAAAGAAAUUCCAAAACUCAAUCUGAAGCCUUUACCUAUGGAGCUGAAAUAUACAUAUCUUGAAGAAAAUAAUCAAUGUCCUGUCGUAAUAUCUUCAUCUCAAACCAAGUCUCAAGUGAAGGAUGCAAGCUUCAAAUGGGAUCCGGGCAAACUGAAUCAGGAAGGGCAAAAAGUUUUGAUGUAUGACACAAGACUCCAUAUCUUUCCUGGGAAGCUCAAGUCAAGGUGGAUUGGUCCAUUUGUUAUUCACCGAGUAUAUUCCAAUGGAGUGGUGGACUUAUUGAAUUCCAAUGGCAAGGACAGCUUUAGAGUCAAUGGAUAUCGUCUUAAGCCGUUCAUGGAGUCAUUCAAAUCAGAAAAGGAGGCAAUCAACCUCCUUGAACCUCAAAAAGCCUAAGUGAAAUGGGUUUGCUGGACGUGGUUUUACCACAGUCCAAAAAUUUUUGUAAAUUUUGUAAAUUUUCAAGUUGUUUCCAUGCUUUUAAUCUUAGUUUUUGAUUUUAAAUCAUGUUUUUAGGUGUGUUUUAAUCGUUUUAUAUGAUCCCAGGCGGAAGAAAUUUCAAGGGGAUUGAAAAGAAAAAAAUCGGGUCGAAAUUGGAGCCGAAACAGAGCAAAAACAGGGGAAAAACAGAGCUCUGCGAAAUUUCGCAGGGUGAAGGAAACUUCUGCGAAAUUGGCAUUUUGCUGCCAAACCAUUCCGCAGCACUGUAGAAGCCUCUGCGAGUGUAUUUCGCAAUUGCGAAAGUGGAUUUGGCACACGAGUGCCACUUCGCAGCACAGUGACAUCAAUUUCGCAGCUGCGAAACUCACUGCGAAGUUGCUGCGAAAAUGGCAAGUUGCUGCGAAAUUGGCGUUUUGUUGCGAAACGUAAUCUGACCCCUGGGCUUCCGUUUUUCCUAUUUAUACCUGUCAAAAGUGCUGCGAAAAAGGUUUCAAAAAUUAGAGCACCAUUCUCGCAGCCCUUUCAUCUUCUUCGCCAAGCCACGCCGUCCGUUUCUCCGGUCGUCUUCUCCGUUUAGCAGCGCCGGCCAAAGAUCGAUAGCCCAAAAAUGGCACGAACGCGAGGGGCAAAGUCUUCAUCCCCUUCGAACCGCAAAAGGAGUCUGCGAAAGGAGCCAAGUUCAGGCUCUGUUCCAGAACCUGCUCCAAAGCCUUCGCCGUCGAGACCACAACCUUCUCCAGUGAAGCCGGCGCCACCAAAGCCGCCGGCAAGGCGAUAUUUAACCAGGUCAGGUGGUCAGCCAUUGAAGAAGAAAGCCAGAGUUGAGAGCUCUGAACCAAUCGAUUUGACUGAGCAAUCCCCUGAGAAAUCACCAAAUCCUUCACCGGUACAAAUUCCAGUGCCAUCACCGGUUCCCUCGCCAAUUCCCUCACCAGAAGCAACUCCAAUUCCAUCGCCGGUACCAUCUCCGGCACCCCAAGAAAAAGCUCAGGAGCCUCAAGCGCCAAUUCCAGAGCCCCAAAUUGCAGCUGAAGCACCUCUGGAAGAAGUGAUCCGAAGGCCAAUGCUGCCUCAGCCCCCAAUCGAAGGAAACCUGGAUUGCCGAACUCGGGCAUUCCAUUCUGAGCUUUGCUUCGAUUUAACAGCAUUCAGAGUGAGGCCAGAGCUUGCCCAAUCCUUCCAACUGCUGAGGAGAUAUCAUAUGGAGCAUCUGCUAGCUCCAAGGGAUUUUUUCUAUCCCCGGGUAGUCACGGAUUUCUACCAAACCAUGACAACCAAAGAAGUAAGAAAUCCAACUCUGAUUCAUUUCAUAAUUGAUGGAAGGCAUGGUAUUUUGGGAGCAAGACAUAUUGCUGAAGCCCUGCAAAUUCCUUUUGAGCCAACUCAAUUCGACAAUUUUAAAGCUUGGACAAAUCCUACUGAGUUAGAGAUGGUUAGCACACUAACCAGAGGAGCUGCAAAUCGAUCGCAUUUGUUGAGGGGGGAGCUACCUCCAGUUAUGUUUUUGAUUGAUGCCUUUUUGAGGCAUAAUAUCUAUCCCCUGCAGCAUUGGACCCAAAGAAGGGGAAUUCUCCUAGAAGCCUUGUACAAAAUGUCUGAAGGAUUCUUCUUUGGGCCUCAUCAUCUGAUCAUGGCAGCCCUUCUAUACUUUGAGGAGAAGGUUCACAAGAAGAAGCUUCAAAGAGCAGAUUGCAUUCCACUCCUCUUCCCAAGGCUGCUAUGCCAAGUUUUGGAGCAUCUCGGAUACCCCUCUGAGCCUCAGCAGGAAAGAAAGAGAAUAUGCCGUGAGCCUUUUACCCUUGAUAAAUGGAAUAAUAUGACGGCCUACAAAAUUGAUCAGCCUGGGCAGCCUCAGCCAGCAGCAAGGAGAGUCUCCCCAAGACAUAUACCUGAAGGUAUAACACUUGCUACUCCUGCCAUCCCUCGAGCUCCACCAGCUGCACCUGCUCCAUCACAGCCAUCCACAUCAGCUGAGCCGAGGAUGGCCAUCCCUAUAUCCGAAUAUCGAGAGCUGUGCCGUGCAUUGGAGACUCUUACAGCUUCUCAGAGCAAUCUUGCUCAGGAGUUGGCAGCCAUUAAAGCAUGCCAGGAGCAGAUGUUAGCCUCUCAGACUCAACAAGCUGCCAUCCUAAGGCAGCUUCAAGUCCAUUUCGAUCUGCCACAAGCUGUAGAGCCCUCUAUUCCUACUCCACCAGAGCCACACUCUCAGCCUUCAGAGUCUCAUCCUCCAGAACCCGAAGCACCAGCUGAUCCACCUACUGAGGAGGCAGAUCCUUCUGCCUAGCACCAUCACCCCCCUCAUCAGACAUUAUAUAUAUAUUUGCUGUUUAUGUUUUUAUGCAUGUUUGUUUUGUUUUAGUUGAAAAGAAAUCCCAGUAUUUUGGUACUAUAUAUGGGAUUCCUUGUGUUACUUGUCUUUAGUAUUGUAAUCACAUGAACUCAAAGUAAUACAAGUUGACUAUUUCUUGUUAAAAGUUAGCAUUAAAGUUUCCUUAUUUCCUUUUCUCACAUAUUCUAUUCUUUUUGAAACAUGUGGUUUUCCCCAAUCAAUAUUCGAAUUUGAUAUCAGCAUGGAGGUACCACUUCCUCCCUUUUAUUACAGUCACUCAAAUCACAUUGAGGACAAUGCUCAGUUCGGUUGGGGGGUAUGAGGAAGGAAGUAUUCUAAACCUUUUUGGUAUUGCAAUUAUAUUGGUUAAUUAGUUGUAGAUUUUACUUUUUACUAGUGUUACUCUAUUCUCCAUGAAUUUUGAGGAAAAAUUUUCAAAUUAAACCAAGAGAAAUUGAACUGUUGUUUUUCACUUGACUUAGAGUAUGGAUUAUGCUUACUAAAGUGGUUCAAUUGUUGAAACUUCUACUGAAAUUGAAUUGAGUUCUUCCACUUUAAGCUAUCCACACACUGUGCACAUUAGUUUCCGAUUAUAAGAUGAAAAGCUAUUUCCCUCUUGACUUAGUAUAUUUUUGGGACUUGGUAUAUUUGACCUCAUUUGAUAAAAAUUGAAACACCCUGCAAAAGGCCAAUGAGCCUUUGAAAUAAAGAAAGUUGUUUGCUUGCCUUGAAACCCGAGCAAGGUCUGAGGGGUAUAUGGUGAAAAUCUUUAAAGCCUGGUGCCCUAAGCCUUAAUUGGUUGGGAGUCACCGACCUCAAUGCUCGUUACAAGGGUGAAUAGGUAGAGUUAGCAUAUGGUAGAUGCUUGGGUAUUAGAAAUUCAUUCUUAAAAGUCCGGGGAAAAAUCCGAGGAGUUAGUGGUUGAAAGAUCCUUAAAACUUGGUGCCCUAAACCUUAAUUGGUUGGGAGUCAUCGAUGGACCCCCAUUACAUGGACAAGUCAGAAAGAGUACCCCAUAAAGCUACCUUAAAAAAAAAAAAAAAAAAAAAAAAAAAAAAAAAGAUGAAAGUGUGUUCUUUUCUUAUUGAUUUUGGUCAGUUUGCUAAAGUGUUGAAAAGAGAUAGGUUGGGGGGUGAGAUUAGUAGCAUAUUAUUCUCGGAACCUAAGGAACCAAUACACAUAGAUUUUUGUGGAAGAUUGAAGUUUAGUUCUUAGAAAAUGAAAUGAUUUUAAAACUUCAGUUUGCAUAAUGCACUCCCUUGAUUGACAGUGUUUAGCAUAGGUGUUAUGACUCUUGUUGAGAUUUGGGUUUGUAUUUCUUUAAUGAUUCAUGUGAGAAAUAGAUCAUCAUGCCACUUGAGAAUUAUUUUCCUUUUAGCAUGAUGUUGUAAAUUUUAGAUUAGUUUGCUAUUUAUUUUUUAUUUUCUCUCCUAUAUUGCUAAGGGACUAGCAAUAUGUCGGUUGGGGGGAGUGAUUACUACUCAAAAAGUGCUAUUUGAUAGCCUUUAAUUAAUCCUUUUUAACACUUUUGAGUAGUAGUUUAGGCCUUUUAACUCAAUUGGCAUGUUAAGGAUCCUUUAAAGCAAUUUUGAUCACUUUGUGCAAGUUUUGGUGUUUUUGUUAGUAUUUUGAUCACCAAAGCAAGUCAAGAAUGAGGAGAACUAUGAGGAAUCAUGGGCAAAGCUUAGAAUUCAAUUGCCAAGAGUGAAUCCGGAUUGCAAGGAGAAAAAGCAAAGAGAAUCUGUCAUGAAGCCUAUUCUUGAUGACAGUCGUAGCAGCCACUUUUGGAGCACUUUCUGAAGUCCAAAUGAUGCAAGCUAUAUACCAUUUCAAAGCUCAGGAAGUCAACAAUCCAAUGCUUCAAACGGUGCGCGAUUCGGAGUUGAAACGAAGAAGUUGCAGCCAUUACAAGCCAGUCACUCUAAAGUGUUGCGGAAUCAGCCUUUUGUUGCGAGAAUUUCGCAGCACUUUUGUACAGUAAGGUGUUUCUCCUUCUGACGAUGCACGAACCAUGCCGCGAGAGGGAAGCUAGGAACUUCAAGAUGGAAGCCAACUUUGCAGCCUGGUGAAGAUAGCUUGGUCUUGCGAAAUAAUUUCGCAGCCCUCUUGGGUGUCUGCGAAAUUUCGCAGGCACCACUUUUUUCCUGCGAAAUGGCUCCGGAAGCCUCCCGAAGCUUGCUACCGACAUUGGGAGAUAUUUUCCAUUAGAUUUUUGUUGUCUAAAUUCCAAAAUACUCCUUGUAAACCACCAAUUACAUGAUUCCUUAGUUUUUAAGUUAGUAAAAAGACCAAAUAUCUAUGUAAUAAUUAGUUUUAUAUUAGUUUGCUAUAAAUACCUCUCGGGAGCAUGUUCUCAGAGAGGAGUUCCUUCUGUAACCAUUUUGGUAAGCAAGUAAAGUCUUUUCUUUCUACUGCCUUACCUUCUCACUUUGUAUUUUCAUUUUAUUUCUAAGUUAUGAAUUCUCUGAGGAGCUUUCCCCAGAGAAUGAGUAACUAAACCUCCAAUUCCUUGGAGCUAAGGUUGCCGGGGAAGGUUCCAAGUGCAAGAAUGCAAAGCUCUGUGGUUUUAGCUAGUAAUGAAGAGGAAGUGAAAUCCUUUAGUGAUUUCAAUGUUUUUAGUUAACUUAAAACACCUUGGAGUCACCUGGGCCAACACUUGGUAAGGCAAGUGAUUUCCAACCGUGGAAAUGCACUAGUUUACCCCUUGCGAGCCUCUGGUAGGUGACUUCAAGGUAGGAUUUUCUGGAAUUACCAACACUUGGUAAGCUUUUGGACUCCUAGGAGACAUCCAUUAGUUAUCUCUUGCGAGUUUGUGAAGGGGAAUCCAAGGUUAAAGAUCACCUUGAAUGGUAAGUGCUCGUGAGAGGCAUGAACCAUUGCAAGUUGUAUCAGUGAGAGAAUUAAAGUGAAAUCUAAUUGAAGGAGUCUCUGUACAUCACCGGUUAGAGAAUUGACUAUAAGUUGAAUCUCUAAUGCGAGGAAAUGAACCAUCUGACCGGAGCUAUGUCUUUUGCAUGAGGAACCACCCCAGUGAACCUAAAUCUCCAAGGAAUGCUUUUCUUCCUAAAUUAUUCCAAACUUCUGUUAAGUUAGUUAGUUUAAGUCUAAACCUUUACCAAUCAAACUUUGUGUUUUAUUCCUUAAGCUAACCGUGAAAUGAAACAAAACCAAUUCACUUGGAAUUGGUAUCCUUGAUUGCUUGCAAAUCAUUCCCAGUGAACGAUCCUUAGAGCCACUAUACUAUAGUAGCUUUGUAUUUGCUACCCUAGUGUAUGGUGUUAUAGGUAUAAAUUUUGUUGAUCACUUCCUCAAUCAAGGAACACCAGCUGAACACAAAUCAGCUGAGACACCAAUUGGGCAUGAGUCAGUGCGUUAGAGGAUCAAGAAGAAGAAAAAGAAGGAACUGUUGGAAUUAGUAUGAGUGUGAAGAGAAAAGUAUAUAAAUAAGGGGAAGUAAAAGCAAAGUUCAAAAAGCUAUAUUUUUUUAUUGUUGGUGUAUGGUUGCAUGAUUAUCCCUAUAAAUAAUAGGAGUUUUUUGGUAUUCUACUAGUAGUUGAAGCAUAAUUUCAUAAAUUAAUAUUUAGAGCGGGGUGGGGUGAGUUGUGACAAAAUUCAUACCCGUCCCAAACCUUGGUUCAGAUUUUUAAAAUAUUCUCAAACUUAUCAUAUACCCAACUUUUAUAUUUCAUACUUGUCCUAAUAGAGGCACGUUAGGCCGGGUUACUUGAGUAACCUACAUAAUUGUCAUCCCUAGUUGAAAUACACUUUUUGGCAGUGGCCACCAACUGAGCUAGAAGCUUGAUUGAUUGACCUACAAGAUUAGUUCUCAUCAUUUUAAAAAAAGUUCUGGCUUUGGUUGUGAGUGCAAUUGAAUCUAAACUGGCAUUUGCUUAAUGCAUCUACUUCAAUCCUAAACUUCUUACUUCUUAAGCCUCAAUUGUUGUUAGGAUUUUGGAAAACCCAUUUCCUUAAAUUGUAAAUUUAAGAUAAAAUAAAAUAAAAGUGAGACAUUUCUUGAUUGAAUAUUGUUAAAGGUCCCUUGGCAUUAAGACUUGGUUGAAGCCUUGGAAGAUUAGUGGAACUCUCAACAUGUGUUUGAAUCUUGAGGAGAGUGGAUGUAAGCCAAAAUUUUGUCAAACCAUUAUACAAAUUGAGUUUGAAUCCUCAUUUCUUGAUUUCUUAUUUAUUUGCUUUUUCUUAUUAUUACUUGAAUUGUCAUUUGCAUUCAUUAAUGUUAAAAUUGGUUAUAAUUAACCAACACUAAUUCUCUUUCCCCUUCCCUUUCUUGGGUGUAAACCUAGGUUGGAUUAACUAGAUAAAUCUAUUAAGAUGGUAAAAGAAUAAUUAUUCUUAACAUACAUAAGAUCAUCUUCAAUCAAAUGACUCAUUGGCUAAUAUGUUGAAUUUGCUUAUUACUUGCAACUCAAAAUUGUGUUCUAGUUGUGUCAAGUCCCCAGUGUAUGGACAUUAAAUUUGUAGUACGUGAUGAGUAAUUAGAUGGUCCAACUCCAAGAAAGUGAUUGAAAAGUAGUUCAAGAAAGGUGCAAAAGGGAAUUGUUUUGGUAUUUUCGUUUUUAUUCUUGAAGGUGGCAGAGCUAAAAUUUGAGAAAUCAAGCAAAACAUACUGAAAUUACAUUGAAAGAAAGAAGAUGGGAGUUAAUGUCUUGCAGUACAUGAUAAGGACUUCAUGCAUGUAGUGUGACCCAUGUCUUGGACUGAUGCCAACUCACGGUUACACUUAUACCCUUGGUUCUCUCUUUACUACCUUGGCUAACCUAGAUCAGGCUAUGAGAUAGGCUCCUCACCACACCAUUACUUGCCCAUUAAUUAGAGACAUUUUCAAGCAAUGAGGUAACAUGGUGACACCAAGAGGGUCUAUUCCUCGCCCGGAACAAGUCUAGACUUGGUCUCAAAAAAAUGGAGAAAAAUGAGGUGUCGUUAUGUAGAAAUACAACAACCAUGCCUUCCUCAUUACUUAGAUUCAGAAUGUGAAGGUGAAAUUGAGAAACAGAAACUCUUGAAACCAAAAUGAAAAUUGAUACUUUUACGAAGAAUUACAACAACAUUAGAGGAAGACUACAUUCUUCCUCUUUAUUCCUACAUUUCUACACUACUUCUACUCCACUCCAUAUUUCUACAUACAUCUUUAAUCAGUCUUCCCUCCUUUAUAUAGAGCCAUCUUCACACAAAUUUCGCAAGGUAGAAAAGAGGAAUGAAACUUGGAGCAAGGUUCGACUACUGGUUGUAGCUUGUCAAGGCUGGAAGUGAACUUUUCUUGGCUUUCUGGGCAUGGGUAGUAACUUGUGGGUUCCUGUUUGGCAUAAAAAUGGCUAGAACAUGUGGCACUAUCUUGUUGGAUGAUGUGUCAAGCAUGUGGCAGCCAUCUAGUGGCGAUUAUGUCAAUUUUGGGAUGGAGAGUUGGCAUCCAAUUGCAAAGAAAUAUGACGUCUACCAACAUGCAAUGUAAACCUAUGUAGAUCAUAUGAAGAUAGAGAGGAAAAAUAUAGAAAUGGAUAUAUACCUAGAACUAGCUUUUUAUUAAAUGAAACGGAGAGACAACAAUGAAGGAAAAUAAAAUUUUUUGGCUUAUAUCAAAGAGUUCACAUUGUGUUACCCUAGGUUUUCUUAAAACUUACUUUUAUGAUAACAAAAAAGAAAAAACCAUUAUUGUUUAAUCCUUUGUUUUAAACGCAUGUAAGGUGUAAUUAAGUUAGUUCAAUGCAUUAAUUUAAGAAACUUGACCUAUCAAAAGUACAAAAUUAGAUGAAAUCCAUUUCAAUGGUUAAAAUGAUCAAAAUCAAACUUUUUCUAAGUAUUUUUUAAAAGCAUCAAUAGUGAAAGACAAUUUUAUAUUUAGUCGGAGUUUGGACAAAACUGAAAAACACACAAAAUCCAAGCGACCAUCUCUAGCUUGGAUGGUCGCUUGAUCCCACCUAGAGAUGUGCAUGAGUAAAAGGAUUUGAAAAUGGAAAUUGACUAUGUAGUCGAUCAAUUAACUUUGCAACAUCAUAUGCAAUCCUAAUUGCUAGUCAUCUAAUCAAUUAGGUAGUCAAUCAACAGGCCAAAAAUAUGUUUAUAAUGACUAUUUUGUACAAAAACCACCUGUAUAGUUAAAUAUAAUGCAUUUCAUUUAUAAAUCUUCUAAUUCUUGAAUAACGAUCCUAUCAUCCUUUGAAAGUUUUUAUUACACUUUUUUUACUUUUGUUCUAAAACUUACACAUCACCCUUAAUUGUACCAUGAGAACCUAGCUAUUUUUUAUUUUUUUUUUUGUAAUUCAUCAAAGUUAGCUUUUGUAUUCAUUGUUGUAUUAUUUUUAGUAUAACUUAGAAAGCUAGUGUUUUCAAGUGAGUAAAAUUAACUUGUAAAUAUUGUAAAGAUUCAUCGACAUGUAUCUUAAACUAAGUGUACAAGUUAAAACAUUUGCUAGUAGAUUUUCUCAAAAUUUAGAAUAGAGCUUGAGACUAUUGAAAUAGGUGGGGUUGCACCAAACCACAUCACAUCGUUGUUUGCACCUUUUUUCACUCUCUUUUACUUAGUUGCUCUAUAUUUGUUGUCUAGUAAUAUCCUAUAGGCUUGAUGGGUUAGGGAGCAUCCCUUUGUGAAAAAAUUUUAUUCAAUCCUUAGUUGUAUCACGCAUAUAUAAAAUGCCUCAUUGUUUUAAUGGUAUUCAGUCGUGGCAUCACAGAUAUGGGCAUCUAAAUUUUAAAAGUUUGAAACUUUUAUCUAAAGAAAAUAUGGUGCUUUGCCUUUUUGUAAAGCAUGUUGAUGAAAUCCAUGAGAAUUGUGUACUUGGGAAGCAACACCGAGAUGACUUUUUUUUUUUUUUUAUAAUAUUGUUUGUCCAAAUUCCCUACAAAUUAGGCCACCAGAUGUUCAUAAUUCUCCCUUCUUGAAUUUGAAAACUCGGACAAUUGGACAAUGCGACACCUAAGUCCGGUUUCUAAAUGCUAAAGUGAAAGGGUAGGUAUGGACCAUUGAAAUGUGAUCACAACUUUUCUCUGUAGCCAUGUUGUCUCUUUUUUCUUUUGCAUGAUUUUCUUACCUUAACAGAAUCAUAGACUUGUUUAGUCUCUAAAUGGGAUUAAUUUCAUCCAGCUUUAAGCUACUAUAUUAUAUCUAGGUGGAGGACUUUUAAGAGUGCAACCGACAUAGAGCACAUGGAAGUGGGUAUAUGGGACAUGAAAUUUCUUCUUAUAAAGAUUGCAUGAUUUUUAUAUUAGAGUUGUUGAGGCGCUAUGUAUUUAGCUUGUUUUGCAGUUAAAUUAAUUGGAUAAGUAGACAUUGGCGUUUCUAAAUCUACUGUGAAGUGCUUCAUGUACGUGUGAAGUAUUAGAAAUUUCUUUCUUGGCAACUUGUUUUUCUUUGCGGUCUACUGAUAGGUUUGACUAAAAUUAUAUUCCCUGUCAUGCUAAUUAAUUUUCACGUGCAUGCUCAAAAGAAAAGUAUGACCUUAGUGCACCAAAAUCACUUUGAUUAAUUUGUGAUAGGUUUUUGUGCAUCAUGACAUUAGCCUUAUUCAUUUAGAUAAUGUUUAGUUUUUAGAAAGUAUUAAGAAAAGGAAAAUAAAUAUUAAGAAAAAUAUUCUUAUAUUUGAUUGUAUUAUGAAAAAUAUCAUAAAAAAAUCAAAUAUAAUUUAAAUUAAUUAAUAAUUUAUACAUUUUCAAAUUAUUUAAUCUUUAUAUUGAAGAUAUAAUAUAAAUGAAAUGAGUUUUAAGUAUUAUAUAAAAGUGAUUUAUUGAUCUUACAUAUAUAUAUUUCUUUUUUUUUUCCUUCUAUUUUUUCUCUUUAUUUUAUUUUCCUUAUGUUUUCCUCAACAUUUUCCGGAACCAAACAUAGCCUUAGGAAAUCCACAAUUACCUUCAACUGAGUAGAUUCUGUUGUUUUAGCAAUGUUAGGCUGCUAACUUGUGUUGGUACGAACCUAUUAAGCCUAAAGAUGUAAUUAGUUAGGAUAUUCUUUUCCCUCUAGUCUUGUAGCUCCACGUGUACAGUUGGUUAGGACCUCAUUGUAUAUAAUGCUUGCCCUGUUAUUGUAGAAGACAACAAAGAUAAAUAAUAUUAACAUUUUUCCUCUCAUCUCUCUCUGUUUCCCUCUGUUUUCAUCUCCUCUCUCAUCUUGGUAUCAGAGCCUCCAUGGCUUCUUUCAAAGAAACCUCCGAAUCACCUUCUGCUAGCAUUGUUAAUGUGCAAAACCCAUUAUCUCAAUCAAACAACCUUCCUUCACCAGUAGCCACACCCUCUUUUUCUUUCUCGUCUAUGAAUCAACCUCUCACAGUGAAGCUGGAUAAUGGGAACUACCUCAUAUGGAAGAAUUAGCUUCUAAAUGUCAUCAUUGCUAACGGACUCGAUGAUUUCAUUGACGGAUCUCGACCCUGCCCUCCUCGAUUUCUCGAUCUGCAACAACAAACCCUCAAUCCAGAGUACUCAGCUUGGCAGAGAUACAAUCGACUUCUGAUGAGUUGGCUGUACGCAUCCUUGUCCAAAGAUAUAAUGGCUCAGAUUGUUGGGUAUUCAACAGCUAUGGAGAUUUGGAAUGCCCUUAAUCAGAUUUACUCUGCCUCUUCUAUGGCGCGGUUUACUGAGCUUCGCACCAAGCUUCAAACGCUCAAGAAAGAUGGACUCUCAGUUGGUGAAUAUAUUCAAAGGCUCAAAUCCAUUUGCAAUAGUCUUGCAGCAAUAGGAGAACCAGUUUCUGAGAAAGACCAUCUUAUCUAUUUGUUCAAUGGAUUAGAUUGUGAGUAUUAUUCUUUUGUUACCUCCAUUCAAAAUCGAUCUGACCAACCAACUAUUGACAAAAUCCAUAGCCUAUUGCUUAGCUAUGACUUCCGGCUUGAACAACAAAACUCUGUUUCUCUCCAUUCUGCCCAAGUCCAUAUGGCUCAUCUGAACAAGAAACCUUAUAAAUCAACUCCUCAACCUACAUUCAAUCAUAUUCACAUUCAACCUAGAUACUCUUCUCCACCUUUUAAGCCAACCACUAGUCAAUAUCAACCCAACAUUUUGGGCAAACCACAACCACAACCAUGACAGCCUCAACCUCAAUGGAAACCACAUUUUUCAAUCUAAAAUCAAAAGCCUCAGCGCCAAAUUUGUGGUAAAUUUGGACACACUGCUCUUAUUUGCUUCCAUCACACAAAUUUGAACUAUUCACCCCAACCUUCUCCUAAAUCUUUCAAUACUGUUCUCACCACAAAUUCCCAGCUCCCUAAUCCUCCAAAAUUUUCUUACCCUACAAUGGCUCAUCCUGCUGCUACGCAUAACACGGUUCCCGAUACAAAUUGGUACAUGGACUCAGGUGCUACACAUCACUUUACUCUGGACAUCAACGUGCUUGACACUGUGACACCAUUUAGUGGUUCAGAACAGGUGACAGUUGGGAAUGGUAAGCAACUCUGUAUCUCACAUCUUGGUACUGCAAAACUACCAUCUUCGUAUUCUCCUCCUGUUCUACAUCAGGUAUAUCACACUCCAAAAAUUUCAAAUAAUCUUAUUAGUGUUAAAAAAUUGUGUUCUGAUAAUAAAGUUUUUGUUGAAUUUUAUGCCACUCAUUUUCUUGUCAAGGAUCAGGUUUCGAAGAGAGUUCUCCUUUAGGGUCAACUUGAUAAUGGCUUAUACAAAGUUCAGUCGUCAUGCUCUCCUUCUGCUGUUUCCUUUCCUCCUCAAGUUUUCAUAGCCAACAUCAAGUAUCCAAAUCUGUGGCACAAGAGACUAGGCCACCCAGCUUUAUCUGUUGUUAAUCAAAUCUUGGAUUCUUGUAACAUUGCUCGAACACAGAAAAUUUGUUUUAAUUUUUUAAAUUCUUGUCAAUUAGCAAAGAGCCACAGGCUUCCUUUUUCUCUGUCUCCAUCCAUUGCAGAAAAACCUUUUGAGUUAAUUCAUACAGACCUAUGGGGUCUUUCGCUCGUUCGCUCUAUUUCUGGUGCUCUUUAUUUUUUACUUUUCAUUGAUGAUCAUACUCGUUUUACUUGGUUUUAUUUGCUCAAAACAAAAGAUGAAGCAUAUCCUACUUUUCUCAAGUUUCAAGCUCUCAUUGAAAAUCAAUUUAAUACCAAGAUUAAGGCUGUCCAAUCUGAUUGGGGAGGUGAGUUUCGAUCUCUCUCCAUACCGUUUUCAAAUAUGGGCAUUGUCUAUUGUUUAUCGUGUCCAUACACCUCACAACAGAAUGGGCGAGUUGAGCGAAAAAAUCGCCAUGCGAUUGUCCUUUCUUGCUUGCUCUAUGCCCUUAUCUUAUUGGCCUUAUGCCUUUCAAACUGCCACUUACCUUAUUAAUCGUCUCUCUACCCCUGUGCUGCAUCAUCAAUCCUCUUACUUCGCACUCUAUCACAAACUCCCAACUUAUACUCAUCUUAAGGUCUUUGGUUCCUCUUGUUUUCCGUAUUUGCACCCUUAUAAUACCCAUAAACUCCAAUACAGGUCACUAGAGUGUGCUUUUCUUGGUUACAGUUCACACCACAAAGGUUAUCUAUGUCUUGACAUUCAUUCUAGCAGGGUGUAUAUUUCUCGCCAUGUGAUUUUUAAUGAAGAUUCUUUUCCAUUCAAGAAUUUGAAAUCUUCUCUCUCUCAGUCUAUUUCUUCUUCCUCUUCUUUAUAAGUUCCUCUGUUCAUUCUCUUGCCUCCCCUUUCCCCAUCUCCUCUUAUUUCUUCAUCUAUACCUCAUUCUUUUCCCUCUUCUUCUUCUACCUCUAGUACUUGUUCCCCUCUCGUUGCUCCUACCUCUCUUCCUUCCUCUUCACACUCUGUGUCUCCAUCUAUUCCACCUCCUUCUCCACCUUCUCCGAGUGUGGACCUGCUUGCACCUUGUGUGAAUACAAAUUUACAUACUUCUUCUCGCACUCACAAUAUUCAUCCUAUGGUGACUAGAUCUAAGGUUUGUAUCUAUAAACCUAAGUUGUUGUUGAGUGUCUCCAUAGGUUCUCUCACUAAGCCUACUUCCUUUCUUCAAGCUAUUAAAGAUCCUUCAUGGAAGCAAUCCAUGGAAUUCGAGUUUGCUACCCUUCAACACAACAAGACCUGGCAUUUGGUUCCUUCACCUUCCUCAGGCGAAGUAAUCGGUUGUAAAUGGGUCUAUAAGCUAAAGCUUCAGCCUGAUGGCUAAAUUGAGAGAUACAGCCUGCUUAGUAGCUAAGGGUAUCAUCAAAUUGAAGUAUGGACUACUUCGAAACAUUCAGCCUGAUNNNNNNNNNNNNNNNNNNNNNNNNNNNNNNNNNNNNNNNNNNNNNNNNNNNNNNNNNNNNNNNNNNNNNNNNNNNNNNNNNNNNNNNNNNNNNNNNNNNNAGCUUCAGCCUGAUGGCUAAAUUGAGAGAUACAAGGCCUGCUUAGUAGCUAAGGGUUAUCAUCAAAUUGAAGGUAUUGACUACUUCGAAACAUUCAGCCUGAUUGUCAAGCUUUCUACUAUCUGUAUUGUGCUCAGUCUUACUUUUUCCCAGAAUUGGUGUAUUAGACAGCUGGAUGUUCAUAAUGCCUUCUUACAUGGUGACUUAGCUAAAGACGUUUUCAUGGAACAACUGCCUGGAUUUGUUGAUCCUCUCUAUCCUACUCAUGUCUGCAAGUUGGAUAAGUCUCUCUACUGUCUUAAAUAGUCACCUCGGGCUUGGUAUACUAAGCUGAGUACUUCUCGCUACACUUGGGAUUUGUUACUUCUAAGAAUGACUCUUCCUUAUUUAUUUGUCAUUCGUCUCAUGGGUUACUUCUUGUUCUUGUCUAUGUGGAUGAUAUAAUCGUCAUUGGGAGCCACUCUCCUCAGGUUACUCACCUUAUCCAACAGUUGCAUCAUUAGCUUUCUUUAAAGGAUCUUGGUCCUUUACAUUAUUUUCUGGGCUUGGAGGUUCAUCACACCCCUACUGGUAUUCACCUCAGCCAAGCAAAGUAUAUCACUGAUCUCCUUACCCGGGCGGCUAUGUUGGAUGCCAAGCCAUGUCCCACUCCUAUGUCCUCCAACACAUAUCUCUCUUUUCAUGAUGGAGUGGCUCUUGAAAAUGGUUCAGAUUAUCGAAGUUUUGUUGGUGCCCUUUAGUAUUGUACCAUGACACGCCCAGAUAUAGCUUUUGCAAUAAAUAAAGUGUGUCAAUUCAUGCACCAUCCCUCUAAUGUUCACUGGCAGGCUAUAAAACGUAUUCUCCGGUACUUAAAGGGCACAUCUCAUUUUGGUCUCUUCCUACAGCCUUCCUAUGACUUCAACAUCACUUGCUAUACAAAUGCCGACUGGGCUUCCUGUCCUGAUGACAAGUGUAGCACCAGUGGCUACUGCCUCUUUCUUGCCUCUAAUCUGGUUUCUUGGUCAUCUUCCAAACAAAAAGUGGUCUCCCGCUCCAGCGCCGAAUCAGAGUACCGAGGGGUAGCAAAUGGGGCUGCUGAAAUUGCUUGGACUGAAUCUCUUCUUUGUGAACUUUCCAUUACUCCCCCUCCCCUCAUUCUCUGUGACAAUAUCAGUGCCACGUACUUAGCUGCCAAUCCUAUUUUGCAUGCCCGCACCAAACAUGUGGAAAUCGACUAUCACUUUGUCACGGAACGUGUUCUUCAAUGCUCUCUUUUUGUCCAGUUUACACCUUCUGAUGAUCAACUUGCUGAUUGCAUGACCAAGCCUCUCUCCACCCAACGUUUCAUCACUCUACGCUCCAAGCUCACUGUUCUCACUAGACCAAUGAGCUUGAGGGGGGAUGUUAAGCCUAAAGAUGUAAUUAGUUAGGAUAUUCUUUUCCCUCUAGUCUUGUAGCUCCACGUGUACAGUUGGUUAGGACCUCAUUGUAUAUAAUGCCUGCCCUGUUAUUGUAGAAGACAACAGAGAUAAAUAAUAUUAACAUUUUUCCUCUCAUCUCUCUCUCUGUUUCCCUCUGUUUUCAUCUCCUCUCUCAUCUGAACCAAAUGAUCCAUGUUAACCUUGGCUUGGUUUGAUUUGGCUCUAUCUUAGAGAGCUCAAGGAUCACGUCAACUCUGGUUUCUACUAUUCAGGUCCAUUCCCAUAUGAACUGGUUCAAAUUUGAGAAAAUGGUAACAGACCUUUAGUGAUGUUGGUUUGGAGCCAGUUGCCAAACCCGCCCUGAGCUUUACCACUAAUGUCAAGGGAGAAAGCCAUUUGAACAAAAACAAUAGCUUCAAGGGACUGAAUCGUGGAUGAAAUCUGAUCCACAUUUCUUCUCAUUUUGGAAACAAAUGAGAACUUAACUAAGAAGAUUCUACGGCCUCAUAGUGCUUUUCCUGAUCUAAGGUUGGUUCGUUUCCCAAACUGUGAGAUGCACGUGCCAGACUUCAGAACUCUCACGCUCAGGAGUGUAUCCACGUGGUGGACAUAAGAUGGUGGCUUAAGAUCUGGUGUCGGUGGCUUUACUUUACUAGGAGAGUAGUGUGUCUUCAUCUCAUUCACUGCCGGAGGGUGGCGUAAGCAGUGACGCUAAGGUGGGGCACAGUCAAUAUCAUUUGCAUUUGACCAUUAUAGUUUUCUCCCGGCUUUAAAGUAACCUUAUCGUGAUAAAGGAUUACUAGCACUAGUUCAGAUGAUAGUCAUGUUAAAUUCGGACCAUGUUUGUGUCACAUUAUCAGCAACCAUGUGUUUAUGGUUCAUGCUUUCUGCAACUAAAAUUGAUAUAUAACCAGGUGAACUUCAAUCUAAAUUCUGAAAGUACUCAUGUGAUAGAUGGUGCCCGUCUGCAGAGUCCAUCAAUUGAAAAAUGGAGUGAGUGUAUCUAUAAGAGGGAAGGCUUGGAAAAUGUUCAGUUUUCUGGGAAUUCAACAAGGAUCUAAAAUAGAUUGUUUUCUUUGCUGAUUUCAAUGGUUGAAAUUUGAGAAGAUUGUGUCCACAUAACACAACUAUUACUGGUCCUUCUGUUGCAAUUUAUCCUCUAAAGCUCUAGCAUGUCUUCCAAUUCCCACUUCCCUGUUACUCCAGGAAAGCUAUUUCUGUCAUUGUGAAGAAGAAAAGAGAAUGUACAUAUCGAUGCUUUUAAGUGACUGGAGCAUUUAUAUCAGGUGGUCUGCAGCCAUAUAUGCCACUUUGUGAAGAUUGGAACAGUCAAUCACUAGGCUAUAUAUUAGUGUGGCCCAGCCACUUUAAUCAAGGACAAGUCUUCAUACUUAAAGUCAAAUUCUGCCUUUAGUCUCAUUAUAAAUUUCUGUUUAAAUAUUAAGCAAACAUUUGUUUAAUGCGAUUAAGACAGUACUAACUCAAUACCUGUUCUAUUUUUGGAUGCAAAUGCUUGAUGGUUUCAUCAUUGGAUGGGAUAAAGGUGCAUUCAUGAUUAGGAAUACUAGUAGUUAUAUUUUAAUUCUCUUUUUUCUCAAUGAGACUUGUUGGCACAAUUUUGCUGUUGAGAAACCUACCUCUCCAUGGAAAAUAAGUUGUGAUUGAUAGUACUGGAUAUAUUCAAGAAAUCUAAAUAUAGAUAGCACAAAAUAUUAUCGACAUAAAUAGCAUUAACAGCGUACGUAUGUCUCAGUGCUCAUCAGCUAUAAGCAUGGGGCAAACACUUACUAUGAGCAACUUACGUCAAAAUUCCAGAAUAGGACAUAGAAGUGACAGAUAUAGAACAUUGCAUAUGAGUCACAAGAAAGGAAAUUACGGGUGCAUAGCAGCUCUUAUUUUACAUACUACUACUCAUACUGAUCAAAGUCACUCAGUUGGGAUGGGUGGGAGUAGGAGGUUUGUGGGGUGGCUUGUGCGGAGGAGUUGGCAGCUUCUUUCCAGGACCUGGUUGCUUCUCUGCUGGAGUUGAAGGAGGCUUAAUCUUCCGAGGUGGCUUGUAUGAGUCUUCAGCAUUCUCAGCUGGAGGGUGACCAGGGUUGUGACCAUAAUGUGGUGGCUUCUCUCCCUUAGGUGGUUUGCCAACUGGGGUUGGUGGCUUGUAUGAGUCUUCAGCAUUCUCAGCAGGAGGGUGACCAGGGUUGUGACCAUAAUGUGGUGGCUUCUCUCCCUUAGGUGGUUUGCCAACUGGGGUUGGUGGCUUGUGUUCUGGGAGUGGCUUCUCCCCCUUGGGAGGUUUUUCCAAUGGGGUUGGUUUGUGUUCAGGAGGUGGCUUCUCCACUGGAGGCUUGUGUUCAGGAGGUGGCUUCUCCACCGGAGGCUUGUGUUCAGGUGGUGGCUUCUCCACCGGAGGCUUAUGCUCUGGUGGUGGCUUCUCGAAUGGGGGAUGCUUAGGAUAAUCAGCAAGUGAGGGGGCGGUGAGAACCACCAGGCCAAGCAACACCACUAGCAAAUAUGUAGGAGACAUCUUUGGGUUUGGGCUCAGAUGGUGCAAAACUAGGAGAAUUGGCUAGCCUUUUAUAGCGGAUCGUACCCAAUAAUGAAAUGACACGUGUCAUUAUGACCCAUGUGUAAUGGGGUCGAUUUGGGUCCUACAGUGUUGAAAACUUCGACAUCCACUUUUGGCCUUUUGCUUUCUCUACAGCCGCCUUGCUUUUUCCCUCUUUCCUUUUGUUUUCCUCCUGCCCCAUUCUAUCAACUAAACACAAUUAUGUAGUUGUUUAAUUCUUAAAUGAGAUAUUAUCCGUCAAUCGUAUUAUAUUUUAUCAAGAGAGAACGGAGUGCAAUGUGGCUGUAAUUUUAUCGUUUAGUUUUAUCUCUUGGACCACUGCAUUUUUGUUAAGAGGUGCAAUAAUACACGUCUUUAUCUGCCAUUCAAUAUUUACAGUAAAGAGAGGGCACAAAACUCUUCACUUCGCACCAUAAUUAUUUUGUUUUCUGGACACCCCGGGGCCCUUUGGUUGGUUUGGGGGUCAGAAAGUGAACAUCAUAGGGGGUUUUUCCCUUAUGUGCAUUUGUAUCUGAUGGCUUUAACUCGCCUUGUUACUACAAAGAAACUGUCACAGAUAGGAACUUAUUCCAGGCUGAGUAUCUCCUCAUAGACCCUAUAAAAGAAGACAAGUCAUAAUGAACAUCUAACCUUUGUUCAAUUUGAUUCAAUGCCCCCAUUGUGUCCAUCUCACAAAUCUGAAUUAUUAUAUCCAUUGAAUACAUAAAUUAAUGAAGAAAAUAUGAAACCCAAGAUACAUCUCUGCACAACCUCAACCCUGGUUGCUAUGUUUCCCUUCUAUUCACAUGAUUUGAUGCUAAUUGCCAAACUUGCAACAAGCCCUGAGUUUGACACCUAGUAUCGAUGGGCGAAUUUAAAGUCUCCUCCAAACAUAUAUUCCACAGCUUGAAGCUCACAGAAGAUGUUACAGGCAGGGAAAAACCUUCAGAGUUCGCUACCAAAGAUAAUUAUUAAGGAGAUAUCACAAAGAGAAUUCCAAGGGGUCUGAAUCAAAGACAAAUUGGUCGUUCGUGGGGGUUCUUACUUUCUUUUGGGUAUAACUCACUGAGGGCACUGUCUUUGUUAUUUGCAUUUCACAUUUAGAGUUCUGUUCUGGAAACAUAUAAAAGGAGCAUCAUUUUGUUCUUGGGUAACCCAUAGUCGUGAGUGGGUCCAUUUGCAUGCUACUUAGUUGAAAAGUUGGACCAUUUGCUCCGACGCCUACCUCCCGGAUUCCAUGCUCGGAUAAAACAAGAAUAAAAAAAAUAUUUAUAAUUUACAAAUGGGGGAAAGAAAAAAAUGUCAACAACAAACCAGGAAAAAAGAGUAGUAAAAUUCAUGUCACAUGCUAGUGAGAGAAGGGGUUGUUACACUCACUCGAAGUUCUUUCCAAAAUAUCGCAUGGUAUUUUAUUUUAUGUGUCAGCGCAGUUGUGAAUGGAACGUGCAAAAGUCCAAAUUGGCGUUUUUCCUUUUCCCGUGUAGGAUGGCGACCUUUAAUAAAUAUUUAAAACAAAAAACGAAAAAAAGGAGGGAAAAGGGAUCAGAAAAGAUAAAACAAUGUGUACAAGAGCUCAAUUAGUUUGCAAAUUACUGUUUGGAUUUUGAUAGUAUUUUAUUUGUCCAUCUAUAUUUGAUGGAAAAGAGAAUUUAAGAUAUUUCUGAAACAAAAGCAUUAGUGUAAAACUAAAUUAAGGUAUAAUUAAGUUAGUUCAAUGCAUUAAUUUAAGAAACUUGAUCUAUCCAAAGUACAAAAUUAGAUGAAAUCCAUUUCAAUGGUUAAAAUGAUCAAAAUCAAACUUUUUCUAAGUAUUUUUUAAAAGCAUCAAUAUUAAAAGACAAUUUUAUAUUUAGUCGGAGUUUGGACAAAACCAAAAAGCACACAAAAUCCAAGCGACCAUCUCUAGCUUGGAUAGUCACUUGAUCCCACCUAGAGAUGUGCAUGAGUAAAAGGAUUUGAAAAUGGAAAUUGACUAAAUAUUUAGUUGAUCAAUUAAAUUUGCAAUGUCAUAUGCAAUCCUAAUAGCUAGUCAUCUAAUCAAUUAGGUAGUCAAUCAAGUGUUUGUAAUGACUAUUUUGUACAAAAAACCACAUGUAUAGUUAAAUAUAAUGCAUUUCAUUUAUAAAUCUUCUAAUUCUUGAAUAACGAUCCUAUCAUCCUUUGAAAAUUUUUAUUACACCUUUUUUACUUUUGUUCUAAAACUUACAUAUCACCCUUAAUUGUACCAUGAGAACCUAGCUAUUUUUUUUUUUUUUGUAAUUCAUCAAAGUUAGCUUUUGUAUUCAUUGUUGUAUUAUUUUUAGUAUAACUUAGAAAGCUAGUGUUUUCAAGUGAGUAAAAUUAACUUGUAAAUAUUGUAAAGAUUCAUUGAUAUGUAUCUUAAACUAAGUGUACAAAUUAAAACAUUUGCUAGUAGAUUUUCUCAAAAUUUAGAAUAGAGCUUGAGGCUAUUGAAAUAGGUGGGGUUACACCAAACCACAUCACAUCGUUGUUUGCACCUUUUUUCACUCUCUUUUACUUAGUUUCUCUAUAUUUGUUGUCUAGUAAUAUCCUAUAGGCUUGAUGGGUUAGGGAGCAUCCCUUUGUGAAAAAAUUUCAUUCAAUUCUUAGUUGUAUUACGCAUAUAUAAAAUGCCUCAUUGUUUUAAUGGUAUUCAGUCGUGGCAUCACAGAUAUGGGCAUCUAAAUUUUAAAAGUUUGAAACUUUUGUAAAGCAUGUUGAUAAAAUCCAUGAGAGUUGUGUACUUGGGAAGCAACAUCGAGGUGACUUUAUUUUUUUUUCCUUUUAUAAUGCCACACCUAAGUCCGGUUUCUAAAUGCUAAAGUGAAAGGGUAGGUAUGGACCAUUGAAAUGUGAUCACAACUUUUGGCCUUUUCCUUUCUCUGCAGCCAUGUUGUCUCUUUUUUCUUUUGCAUGAUUUUCUUACCAAAACAGAAUCAUAGACUUGUUUAGUCUCUAAGCUACUAUAUUAUAUCUCGGUGGACUUUUAAGAGUGCAACCGACAUAGAGCACAUGCAAGUGGGCAUAUGGGACAUGAAAUUUCUUCUUACAAAGAUUGCAUGAUUUUUAUAUUAGAGUUGUUCACGUGCAAUGUAUUUAGCUUGUUUUGCAGUUAAAUUAAUUGGAUAAGUAAACAUUGGCAUUUCUAAAUCGACUGUGAAGUGCUUCAUGUACGUGUAAAGUAUUAGAAAUUUCUUUCUUGGCAACUUGUUUUUUCCUUGCCAUCUACUGGUAGGUUUGACUAAAAUUAUAUUCCCUGUCAUGCUAAUUAAUUUUCAUGUGCAUGCUCAAAAGAAGAGUAUGACCUUAGUGCACCAAAAUCACUUUGAUUAAUUUGUGAUAGGUUUUUUUGCAUCAUUUAGAUAAUGUUUAGUUCUAAGAAAAAUUUAUAUAAAAAUGGUUUAUUUAUCUUACAUAUAUAUAUAUAUAUAUAUAUUUUUUUUUUUUUCAUUUUUUUUUCUUCUAUUUUAUUUAUUUAUUUUAUUUUCCUUAUGUUUUCCUCACAUUUUCCGGAACUAAACAUAGUCUUACGAAAUCAACAAUUGCCUUCAACUGAGUAGAUUCUGUUGUUUUAGCAAUGUUAGGCUGCUAACUUGUGGUGGUACGAACCAAAUGACCCAUGUUAAUCUUGGCUUGGUUUGAUUUGGCUCUAUCUCAGAGAGCUAAAGGAUCACGUCAACUCUGGUUUCUACUAUUCAGGUCCAUUCCCAGAUGAACUGGUUCAAAUUUGAGAAAAUGGUAACAGACCUUUAGUGAUGUUGGUUUGGAGCCAGUUGCCAAACCCGCCCUGAGCUUUACCACUAAUGUCAAGGGAGAAAGCCAUUUGAACAAAAACAAUAGCUUCAAGAGACUGAAUCGUGGAUGAAAUCUGAUCCACAUUUCUUCUCAUUUUGGGAAAAAAUGAGAACUUAACUACAAAGAUUCUACUGCCUCAUUCAUAGUGCUUUUCCUGAUCCAAGGUUGGUUCGUUUCCCAAAUUGUGAGGUGCACGUGCCACUCUCACGCUCAGGAGUGUAUCCACGUGGUGGACAUCAGAUGGUGGCUUAAUAUCUGGUGUCGGUGGCUUUACUUUACUAGGAGAGUAGUGUGUCUUCAUCUCAUUCACUGCCGGAGGGUGGCGUAAGCAGUGACGCUAAGGUGGGGCACAGUCAAUAUCAUUUGCAUUUGACCAUUAUAGUUUUCUCCCGGCUUGAAAGUAACCUUAUCGUGAUAAAGGAUUACUAGCACUAGUUCAGAUGACCGUCAUGUUAAUUCGGACCAUGUUUGUGUCACAUUAUCAGCAACCAUGUGUUUAUGGUUCAUGCUAUCUGCAACUAAACUUGAUAUAUAACCAGGUGAACUUCAAUCAAAAUUCUGGAAGUACUCUUGUGAUAGAUGGUGCCUGUCUGCAGAGUCCAUCAAUUGAAAAAUGGAGUGAGUGUAUCUAUAAGAGGGAAGGCUUGGCAAAUGUUCAGUUUUCUGGGAAUUCAACAAGGAUCUAAAAUAGAUUGUUUUCUUUGCCGACUUCAAUGGUUGAAAUUUGAGAAGAUUGUGUCCACAUAUCACAACUAUUACUGGUCCUUCUGUUGCAAUUUAUCCUGUAAGGCUCUAACAUGUCUUCCAAUUCCCACUUCCCUGUUACUCCAGGAAAGCUAUUUCUGUCAUUGUGAAGAAGAAAAGAGAAUGUACAUAUCGAUGCUUUUAAGUGACUGGAGCAUUCAUAUCAGGUGGUCUGCAGCCAUAUAUGCCACUUUGUGAAGGUUGGAACAGUCAAUCACUAGGCUAUAUAUUGGUGUGGCCCAGCCACUUCAAUCAAGGACAAGUCUUCAUACUUAAAGUCAAAUUCUGCCUUUAGUCUCAUUAUAAAUUGCUGUUUAAAUAUUAAGCAAACUUUUGUUUAAUGCGAUUAAGACAGUACUAACUCAAUACUUGUUCUAUUUUUGGAUGCAAAUGCUUGAUGGUUUCAUCAUUGGAUGGGAUAAAGGUGCAUUCAUGAUUAUGAAUACUUGUAGUUAUAUUUUCAUUCUCUUUUUUCUCAAUGAGACUUGUUGGCACAAUGUUGCUGUUCAGAAACCUACCUCUCCAUGGAAAAUAAGUUGCGAUUGAUAGUACUGGAUAUGUUCAAGAAAGCUAAAUAUAGAUAGCACAAAAUAUUAUCGAUAUAAAUAGCAUUAACAGCGUACGUAUGUCUCAAUGCUCAUCAGCUAUAAGCAUGGGACAAACACUUACUAUGAGCAACUUACGUCAAAAUUCCAGAAUAGGACAUAGAAGUGACAGAUCUAUAUAUAUAGAACACUGCAUAUGAGUCACAAGAAAGGAAAUUACGGGUGCAUAGCAGCUCUUAUUUUACAUACUACUACUCAUACUGAUCAAAGUCACUCAGUUGGGAUGGGUGGGAGUAGGAGGUUUGUGGGGUGGCUUGUGCGGAGGAGUUGGCAGCUUCUUUCCAGGACCUGGUUGCUUCUCUGCUGGAGUUGAAGGAGGCUUAAUCUUCCGAGGUGGCUUGUAUGAGUCUUCAGCAUUCUCAGCUGGAGGGUGACCAGGGUUGUGACCAUAAUGUGGUGGCUUCUCUCCCUUAGGUGGUUUGCCAACUGGGGUUGGUGGCUUGUAUGAGUCUUCAGCAUUCUCAGCAGGAGGGUGACCAGGGUUGUGACCAUAAUGUGGUGGCUUCUCUCCCUUAGGUGGUUUGCCAACUGGGGUUGGUGGCUUGUGUUCUGGGAGUGGCUUCUCCCCCUUGGGAGGUUUUUCCAAUGGGGUUGGUUUGUGUUCAGGAGGUGGCUUCUCCACUGGAGGCUUGUGUUCAGGAGGUGGCUUCUCCACCGGUGGCUUGUGUUCAGGAGGUGGCUUCUCCACCGGAGGCUUAUGCUCUGGUGGUGGCUUCUCCACCGGAGGCUUAUGCUCUGGUGGUGGCUUCUUGAAUGGGGGAUGCUGAGGGUAAUCAGCAAGUGAGGGGGCGGUGAGAACCACCAGGCCAAGCAACACCACUAGCAAAUAUGUAGGAGACAUCUUUGGGUUUGGGCUCAGAUGGUGCAAAACUAGGAGAAUUGGCUAGCCUUUUAUAGCGGAUCGUACUCAAUAAUGAAAUGACACGUGUCAUUAUGACCCAUGUGUAAUGGGGUCGAUUUGGGUCCUACAGUGUUGAAAACUUCGACAUCCAGUUUUGGCCUUUUGCUUUCUCUACAGCCGCCUUGCUUUUUCCCUCUUUCCUUUUGUUUUCCUCCUGCCCCAUUCUAUCAACUAAACACAAUUAUGUAGUUGUUUAAUUCUUAAAUGAGAUAUUAUCGGUCAAUCGUAUUAUAUUUUAUCAAGAGAGAACGGAGUGCAAUGCAGCUGUAAUUUUAUCGUUUACUUUUAUCUCUUGGACCACUGCAUUUUUGUUAAGAGGUGCAAUAAUACACGUCUUUAUCUGCCAUUCAAUGUUUACAGUAAAGAGAGGGCACAAAACUCUUCACUGCUCUGCAUGUGUCCCAAAAAUGCGAUUGGACAAAUUAUGAUUUGCAUGCUAAAAAGAGGCAAAUGAGGUUAAUUCGCACCAUAAUUAUUUGGUUUUCUGGACACCAUAAAAAGAUGUUAUACAGGCAGGGAAAAACCUUCAGAGUUAGCUACCAAAGAUAAUUAUCAAGCAGAUAUCACCAAGAGAAUUCCAUAGAGUCUGAAUCAAAGACAGAUUGCUCGCUCGUGGGGGUUCUUACUUUCUUUUGGGUAUAACUCACUGAGGUCACUGUCUUUUUUAUUUGCAUUUCACAGUUAGAGUUCUGCUCUGGAAGGUUUGUUCUGGAAACAUAUAAAAGGAGCAUCAUUUUGUUCUUGGGUAACCCAUAGUCGUGAGUGGGUCCAUUUGCAUGCUACUUAGUUGAAAAGUUGGACAAUUUGCUCCGACGCCUACCUCCUGGAUUCCAUGCUCGGUAAAACAAGAAUAAAAAAAAAUAUAUAAUUUACAAAUGGGGGAAAGAAAAAAUGUCGGAAAAAAUAGUAAAAUUCAUGUCACAUGCUAGUGAGAGAAGGGGUUGUUACACUCACUCGAAGUUCUUUUCAAAAUAUCGAAUGGUAUUUUACUUUAUGUGUCAGCGCAGUUGUGAAUGGAACGUGCAAAAGUCCAAAUUGGCGUUUUUAUUUUUCCCAUGUAGGAUGGUGACCUUUAAUAAAUAUUUAAAACAAAAGACGAAAAAAAAAAGGAGGGAAAAGGGAUCACAAAAGAUAAAAUAAUGUUUACAAAAGCUCAAUUAGUUUGCAAAUUACUGUUUGGAUUUUGAUAGUAUUUUAUUUGUCGUUCUAUAUUUGAUGUAAAAGAGAAUUUAAGAUAUUUCCGAAGCAAAAGCAUUAGUUUGCUCUGUGAUGUCCCACAUCGAAUAGGGGAGAAAGUUUCUGGCGCUAUAUAUGUAGAGGCUCCUCUUAACCAAGUAGAUGCGUUUUAAAACCAUGAGGGCCCCCUUAGGUCCAAAGCGGACAAUAUCUACAUGAUUGGGUGUAAGUCAUUACAAAUGGUAUCAGAGCCGAUCCCCGACCCCGGUGUGGGGGUUUGUUUGGCCCUGUAAGGGGUGUUUGUCUGUUUGACCCCACAAUCCCAUGGGACACAACGAGGACGUUGUGUCUGCAUGGGGGGGCGUUUGUGAUGUCCCACAUCGGAUAGGGGAGAAAGUUCCUAGUGCUAUAUAUGUAGAUGUUUCUCUUAACCAAGUAGAUGCAUUUUAAAAUUGUGAGGGCCUCUUUGGGCCCAAAGCGGACAAUAUCUACAUGGUUGAGUGUAAGUCAUUACAUGCUCCAUGUCAAUUUCAGCAUUUCUCAUAUGUUUCACACAUACACAGAAGAGCAUCGUUUUUUAAAGCAUGCAUUUAUGUUGGAUUAAUUUGGAUUUUGUGGGAACUGGGGCAAGGAUCACAUGGAAGAGAGGUUGACUUUUUUCAGUACUUCAAUGGUUGAAAUAUGUGAAGGCUUGAUUGAUACUAAAGCUUGAAAUUGCGACUCUGUCAUUUGUAAAAAAAUAUGACAGCUUCCAUGCUCUCGUUUGGUUGCAUUGUCCGGUCGAGAGGUGCAAAAAGCAUUCUCUCUCUUCUAAUAGUCUUUUCGUUUAAAUCAAGGGAUUUGCCUUCCCGGUCGAGGUCCAAUAGAGGGUAACGGUCACCUACUAAACAUUAAAUGCUCCAACAACUAGUGAACUGAUCGACCCCAGCUCGACUAGUUGAGGUUACUUUUUGGUUUUCUUGUCUCCCGAGGUUAGAAACCUAUAAAUAGAGAGCUUCACUUCAUUUAUGAGUAAGAGAACACCUAAAUUUAUUUGUUUACCUACUUGUUUUUGCCAUAAAAGCUCUCAUUUCUUUUCUUGGUGUAUUAAAUCUCCAUUUGCAUAUCCUUUAGUGCACCUUUGUGAUUCAUUCUAGCCUUGAGUUGUAUUUAAGCCUUUGUUGAGCUAGGUUGAGAGUUUCAUACUUGUUUAUUGAGUGUUAAAGCCUUCAAGUGAGUUAAAACUUGAAGAGAUUGUGUAAGAGCCCAUUGGAGUCGGAAUCCAAGUGUAAAGGUGAUUAAAAGCUUGGUUGAAGCUUCAAGUUAGUGGAACUCUCACUCGGUUAUGAGCUUGAGAAGAGUGGACAUAGACAAGGCAGUGUCGAACCACUAUAAAAUCUGAGUUUGAUUUCUCUAACCUUAUCUCUUUAUAUUUGCUUCUCUUGUGCUUAAAUUUUUUGUGUUUAAAAAGAAUUUUUAAAAACUCAAUUCACCCCCUUCUUGGGAGUUUUUCUCUUUUAAGAUCAGCUUUUAUUUUCUCAAUUGGUAUCAGAACUAUGCCUCUUGUUUAAGACUUAAUCGUCUAAGAGGAAAUGGCUAAUCCAUCAAGUUCAUCUCACAUUGAAAGUUUUGCAACCAAUAGACUUCUUUUUUUUUUUUUGCGGGAACUGAUUAUCCCUAUUGGAAAACUAAAAUGACUUGGUUUUUACAAUCAAUUGAUUUAGAUGUAUGAGAUGCCAUUGAAGAUGACCUAACUUUUCCUUCAAAACUAGUUGAUGGAGUCAUGGUUCCAAAACCUAAGCAAGAAUGGGAUGAGCGUGAUUGAAGAAAUUUUCAAUUAAAUGCUAAAGUCGUUUAUACUUUGCAAUGCUCUAUGGACAGAAAUGAAUAUAAUAGAAUAUGUCAAUGCAAAUCGGUUAAAGAAAUUUGGAGAUUGCUUGAAAUAACUCAUAAAGGAACAAAUCAAGUUAAAGAGUCAAAAAUCAAUUUACUUGUUCAUAGAUAUGAAUUGUUUUUUAUGAAAGAUAAUGAAACUAUUGUUAAGAUGAUCACUAGGUUCACCAACAUUGUUAAUGGUCUUAAAGCCUUGGGAAAGACCUACAAGGAAUCCGAAAACGUGAUGAAGAUCUUGAGGUCACUUCCAUCAAAGUGGCAUACCAAGGUCACCGCAAUUUAAGAAGCAAAAGACUUGAUCAAGCUACCUUUGGAGGAGUUCAUAGGGUCAUUGAUGACAUAUGAAAUCAAUUUGGCAAAGAAGUAACAAAAAGGUGAAGACAAAAAGAAGAAGAACAUAACUCUCAAAGCUACAACUAAGGAAGAAGAAGUUGAAGAAGAAAAACAAAUUGAAGAAGAUGAAGAUUUAGCCCUCAUCACAAGAAAGUUCAACAAAUUCAUGAGGGGUGAAAGGUUUAGAAGAAGAAGGUUCACUUCUAGAAGAGACUUUUCUAAAAAGGAAUCUUCAUCUAAUGGUGACAAAAAGAGAUGGGAAGAGAAAAGAGACUUGGUGUGUUUCAAGUGCAAGAAACCGGGACACAUUAAAUAUGAUUGUCCUCUCUACAAAAGUGAAGUCAAGAGGAAAAAGAAUAAGGCAAUGAUGGCCACUUAGAGUGAAAGUGAAGAUGAAUCAUCCGAAGAAGAAAAUGAGAAAGAAGUGGCAAACAUGUGUUUCAUGGCAAUAGAUGAACUUGAUGAGGUAAAAUCUAACCUUAGUGAUUAAGAUAUACAUGAUGCAUUUGAAGAAUUGUAUGAGGAUUUUUAAAAACUUAGUUUGAAAAAUAUUUCUCUUAAAAAGAAAGUUCAACAACUUGACAAAGAACUUAGAGAAGUAAAAGAAAAAUUUUCAAAUGUUAAAGUUUCUAAAACUCAUCUUGAAAAAGAAAAUGAGAUUCUAAGAAAGAAAAAUGAAUAGUUGAACUCCUCUCUUUCAAUCUUUUCUUCUAGACAAAAAUCUUUUGAAAUGAUUCUAACUAGCUAAAAAUGUGUUUUUGACAAACAAGGGUUAAGAUUUAAAUCUUCAAAAAAUCAAAAGUAUUUUAAAAACUAUUUUGUAAAGGAAUCCACAAGUGCAAGUCCUUCCACUACUUGCAACUUUUGUGGAAGAGAAUGGCACAUUAGUAGUACGCCCUUUAAGAAAUGGUUCUCAAAAGAAUUUAAAUGCAAAAACUAAAAAAGAUUUGGAUUGAGAAAUCCAAGGUCACUAACCCUCAAGGACCCAAAAAGAUAUAGGUACCUAAAUCAACUUGAGUUUUAUGUUGUAAGGUUCAAAGAAUGAUAAGUGGUUCUUAGAUAAUGGUUGCUCAAGACACAUGACCGGAGAUGAAUCCAAGUUUGCUUUUCUUAAAAAGAAAAAUGGAGGAUAUGUUACCUUUGGAGACAAUGCAAAAGAAAGGAUGAUUGGUCAAGGCAACAUUGGUAAUGGCACAUCCUCUCUCAUUGAAAGUGUUUUAUUAGUAGAUGGUUUCAAACAUAACCUUUUAAGCAUUAGUCAAUUUUGCGACAAAGGUUUUUAAGUGAUUUUUUAAGCAUCUCAUUGCAUCAUCAAGGAUAUUCAAAAUGAUAAAACCAUUUUCAUGGGCCAUAGAUGUGAUAAUGUUUAUGCUAUAAAUAUUUCAAAAUAUGAUGGCCAUGAUAGAUGUUUUUCAAGCAUGCAUGAUCAAAGUUGGUUGUGCCAUAGGAGAUUGAGACAUGCUAACAUAGACCUCAUUUCCCAACUCAACAAAGAUGAACUUGUUAGAGGCCUUCCCAAAAUAAUUUUUUAAAAAGAUAAAGUUUGUGAAGCUUGUCAAGUGGGAAAGUAAAUCAAAAACUCUUUUAAAAACAAAAACUUCAUUUCCACAUCUAGGCCACUUGAGUUGUUGCAUAUGGAUUUAUUUGGUCCCUCUAGGACACCAAGUCUUAGAGGAAAUUCUUAUGCAUAUGCUAUUGUGGACGACUUCUCUAGAUACACAUGAGUCUUGUUUUUUAGUCAAAAGAAUAAAGUUUUUUAUGAGUUUUCAAAGUUUUGCAAUAAGAUUCAAAAUGAAAAAGGUUUUUCAAUUACUUAUAUAAGAAGUGAUCAUGGGAGAGAAUUCGAAAAUAUUGAUUUUGAAGAGUAUUGCAAUGAGCAUGGAAUUGACCACAAUUUUUUGGCUCUUAGAACUCCUCAACAAAAUGGGGUAGUUGAAAGGAAAAAUAGAACUCUUCAAAAAAUGACAAGAACCAUACUAAAUGAAAACAACUUACCAAAAUAUUUUUAGGCCAAAACGGUUAACACUUCUUGUUAUGUUUUAAAUAGAGUAUUAUUGAGGCUCAUACUUAAGAAAACUCCCUAUGAGCUUUGGAAAAACAAAAAACCCAACAUUAGUUAUUCCAAAGUCUUUGGAUGCAAUAUUUUAUAAUAAACACCAAAGACAAUCUUGGAAAAUUUGAUGCAAAAUUGGAUGUUGGAAUUUUCCUUGGUUACUCAACUUCAAGUAAAGCUUUUCGAGUUUUAACAAAAGAACCAUGGUUGUAGAGGAGUCCAUCCAUGUUAUUUUUUAUGAAUCUCCAAGAAAGAGAGAGGAUUGAUGAUGAUUUAGGUUUGAAGACCUCUAUAGGAAGAUUGCAAAUCGAAGAUAGAAGACAACAAGAAGAAAAUGGAGAGAAUCCAAAGAAAGAAGGAUCACCAUUGGCACUACCCCCUCAUCAACAAGCGCAAGGUGAAUCAAGUCAAGAGCUUCCUAAAGAAUGGAAGUUUGUCAUCAAUCACCCACAAGAUCAAAUUAUAGGCAAUCCAUCUAGUGGGGUAAGAACUAGAUCCUCUCUUAGAAAUAUUUGCAAUAAUCUAGCUUUUAUCUCUCAAAUUGAGCCUAAAAAUAUAAAUGAUGUUUUAGAUGAUGAAAAUUGGAUAAUUGCAAUGCAAGAAGAGUUAAAUCCAUUUGAAAGAAGUGGAGUAUGGGAAUUAGUACCAAGACCUUCAAAUCAAAGUGUUAUUGGAACUAGAUGGAUCUUUAGAAAUAAAAUGGAUGAAAAUAGCAUAAUUGUUAGAAAUAAAGCAAGAUUGGUAGCCCAAGGUUUUAAUCAAGAAGAAAUGAUAGAUUAUGAAGAAACCUUUGCCCCCGUAGCUAGGUUGGAAGCCAUUAGGAUGCUACUUGCCUUUGCAUGUUUUAAAGACUUUGUUUUAUAUCAAAUGGAUGUGAAAAGUGCUUUUUUAAAUGGUUUUAUAAAUGAAGAAGUAUAUGUUGAACAACCACCCGGUUUUCAAAGUUUCAACUUUCCUAACCAUGUUUUUAAACUUAAAAAGACACUUUAUGGUUUGAAACAAGCACCUAGAUCAUGGUAUGAAAAAUUGAGUAAAUUUCUUUUGAAAAAAAUGUUUUAAAAUGGGAAAAAUUGACACAACUCUUUUUAUAAAAACCAAAGAAAAUGAUAUGCUCUUAGUUCAAAUAUAUAUUGAUGAUAUCAUUUUUGGUGCUACUAAUGUCUCUCUUUAUGAAGAAUUUUCUAAGUGCAUGCAUAGUGAGUUUGAAAUGAGCAUGAUAGGAGAACUCAACUUCUUCCUUGGACUUCAAAUCAAGCAACUAAAGGAAUGAACCUUCAUCAAUCAAGCAAAGUAUAUAAGAGAUCUUCUCAAAAGGUUCAACAUGGAAGAAGCCAAAACAAUGAAGACUCUAAUGAGCUCAUCCAUUAAGCUUGAUAAGGAUGAGAAAGGUAAAUCCAUUGACUCUAUUAUGUAUAGAGGCAUGAUAGGUUCUUUGCUCUAUUUGACCACUAGUAGACCUUACAUUAUGUAUAGUGUGUGUUUGUGUACUAGAUUUCAAUCUUGUCUUAAAAAAUCUCACUUAAGUGUCGUGAAAAGAAUCCUCAAAUAUUUGAAAGGGACAAUGGACAUAGGCUUAUGGUAUCCUAAGAGUGAUAACUUUGAAUUAAUUGGUUUUUUGGAUGCUGAUUUUGUCAGUUGUAGGGUUGAAAAAUAAAACACUAGUGGCACUUUUCAUUUCUUAAGACACUUACUUGUCUCAUGGCAUAAUAAGAAGCAAAAUUUGGUAGCUUUGUCAACAGCAGAAGCUAAAUACAUAGCAACUGGUUUAUGUUGUGCACAAAUCCUUUGGAUGAAAUAAACACUUAGUGAUUUUGAUUUAUCUUUUGAGCAUAUUCCUAUUAAAUGUGAUAAUAGUAGUGCCAUAAGUAUAUCAAAAAAUCUCGUGCAACACUCUAGGACUAAGCAUAUAGAGAUUAGACAUAAUUUUCUUAGAUAUCAUACACAAAAGGAUGAUAUAACACUUGAAUUUGUAAGCAUAAAAGACCAACUUGCCGAUAUCUUUACAAAACCUCUAAGAACAUUUUGUUGAUAUUAGAGGACAAUUAGGAGUGAUUUCUUUAUGAUCUAAUGUGAUGAAUUCUUGAUGAAUAUACUUUUUGAUUGCAUGAAUUUCAUGUCAUAUAUGCAUCAUAUAGAAAUAUACUUAGAUAAUGGUCAAAUUUCGACCAAAAAUCAAAAUUCCCAUGGCAUUAGGCAUAAAAAUUUUGGAAUUUCAACUGAAAAUGGUAGGAGGAGGAUCACAAAAUGAGAAAGUAUGCAAAAAUUGAAAAAUCAAAACGUUGACCAAGCGGUCAAUCGGACUAGACCGAUCGACUAGUUUGUCGAGAUUUAGGAUUUUUAAGAGACUCCAACGCUUCAAUUUUUGCACCGUUCUCCUCUAUUUCUUCACGGUUUCUCUGAUUUUGUCUUUUAGAGACUAAUUUGAGUGCGUUUUGGAUCAAUUGAAGCAUUUUGGAUUGGAUUUUAGGAAGAUUGAAAGUUAAGGUUUCGGAUUUGGGUCGCCUUCUCUUCCUCUCGCGUGUCACAAUCAGCUUUAGCAUUGUUCUCUUUCCAUUUUCACACACCUAGGGUUUCAGUUGUGAGCAUCUCUCUCUCUUUACCAACCACUACUCCCUUGCUUCUUCCAUAUGGCUCCUAGGCGAGAGUCCGCUACUUCUAGGGCACAAGGCAAGCACCCAACUGAGUCGUCUCAGUCAAAGGCACGUCGAAAAGUGAGAUUUGACAUUGCCUUGUUCAGUUCCAUGGAGGACUACCAACUAUACAAGCAACACUUUGCUUAGAGACGAGUAGUUCCCAAGAGAAAUAUUAAUUUUCCUCAACUUCAGCAUUUCGAAUUUAAGGGUCUAUUUACUAGGAUGGUUGGUUGUCUAUUGUCACAAUUUCGGAGCCGGUUUUCCUGACCUUAGUGCGAGUUUUUUACUCGAGGGCGACUUAUGGCAUGGGUGGCAUGAUCAUUUCUACUGUUGGAGGAGUUGAGAUCUGUCUGGACCCAGAGAGCAUCUGCCAUAUUUUCGAUAUUGCUCUGGUUGGACUCAAAGUAUACAAGUCCAAAAUGUGGCCCAUUGUGCCAGGAUUUGAGCUUAGAGAGGUCAUUCAGAGGAUUUGUGAACUUCCAGACGCCCAGGAGAUGGGCAAACCAUUGCCACACAGUUUGACGGUCAUCAACAGGGUGCUACACCAUAUAUUGUGCUCUAUCUUUCUACCACGAAGUGGACAUUGAGAUGAGGUCUCUUAUUAUGAGGCAUUCCUUAUUGACUCCAUUCUAACGGAGAGACGAAUUCAUCUACUAUGUCAUCAUUCACUAAGCCUCCUCACAGUGACAUACCACCUCAUCAGGCACCUCUUGCUCCUGACCAUGCUCCAUUGAUGGAUUUAUUUACUCAUAUUAGCUCUCUAGGCACUCGCAUGAAGGAGUUUGUUGUAGUUAGUGAUACAUGGUUCUACUCCAUAGAGGAUCGCAUGGAUCAGUAUCAGACUGGCUUCACGUCACAGUUUGAGUAUCUCCAAUAGAGGAUUGAGCAUAUUGAGGAUCACUUGAGCAUGAGAAGAUGAUGGCUUUUCUAUGCUCUGUGUUUCCACCUCCACCUCGUCAACCUUGAUUUCUUAGAGACCCAUUGUUUUCAUUUUGUAAUGUUGCCAAAAGGGGGAGAUAUUUAGGAUCUAGGACUCUAUAGGAGACUUACAUGCAUAUCAUUUUCAUAUCAUUGUUUGGAUCGUACAUAUUGGAUAGUGAUACUUUUUACUUAUAUAUGAUAUGCCUAUAUGUUUCAUGUCUUACAUUGUUUCUUAUUGCAAAUUAUCUCUAACAUGUCUUGAUUAUCUUUUUUUUAACUUCAUAAAUUUUGAUUGUUAACCCAUGAUUGGUUUGAGGGGAAGAUUCUUCUUCUCCUAGAUAACCAAGGUUUGUCAUCAUAAAAAAAUUGGAGAUUGUUAGCCCAAGGGUUCUCCUAAUCAUGUUUUGAUGAUAACAAACCAUGCUUAAGUUACUAAUUGGUUUGAAUUAUAAAGAAUUUCAAGUGUUAAUUUGAAAAUUCAUCAAAGAACCUAAUGGAUGCAAGAUCAAGAUUUUUGGAAGACCUUUAAUCAUAAGAAACAUAUGUAAGAUGAAUGCAUGGGUGCACUUAAGAUUUGCAUAUCAUUUCAUGCAUAUUUGGAAAACACGGUUUAUGCUUUAAAGUUACAUUUCCAUCAAAAUUUGAGAUCCAUCAAAUGAACCUUAGGAAAAAUGUUUUAAAAUUGGCAUAUAAUUUUACCUAAAGACCUUGCCUAAGUGUUAGAAGCAAAAGGACAAAAAAAAUAUAGGUUUUCUGGUCAAAAAUGGUGAACCAGUCAAGGCAUUGUCUAAAUCAGCUCAAUCGGCCAAGGUACCGGUCGAUCGGUUUCCCUUUCCCUGUCGAGAUCUAGUCAAGAGGUACAAAAAUCACAAUCUCUGUCUCUUUCUCUCUUUGUCUAUCUUCCAGUAGUCUUUCCUUCCCGGUCGAGGGAUUUGCCUUCCCGAUUGAGGUCCGAUUGAGAGUAAUAGUCACUUGCCAAAUAUUAAAUGCUCCAACAGUUAGUGAACUGGUCGACCCCCACCUUGCCCAGUUGAGGUUACUUUUUGGUUUUCUUGGCUCCCGAUGUUAGAAACCUAUAAAUAGAGAGUUCCACUUCAUUUAUGAGCAAGAGAACACUUGCAUUUAUUUGUUUACCUACUUGUUCUUGCCUUAAAAGCUCUCAUUUCUUUUCUUGGUGCAUUAAAUCUCCAUUUUGAUAUCCUUUAGUGCACCUUUGUGAUUCAUCUUAGCCUUGAGUUGUAUUUGAGCCCUUUUUUUAGCUAGGUUGAGAGUUUCAUACUUGUUAAUUGAGUGUUAAAGCCUUCAAGUGAGUUGAAACUUGUAGAGAUUAUGUGAGAGUCGAUUGGAGCCGAAAUCCAAGUGUAAAGGUGAUUAGAAGCUUGGUUGAAGCUUCAAGUUAGUGGAAUCCUCACUCAAUUAGGAGCUUGAGGAGAGUGGACGUAGCCAAGGAAGUGUCGAACCACUAUAAAAUUUGAGUUUGAUUUCUCUAACAUUGUCUCUUUAUAUUUGUUUAUCUUGUGCUUAAAUUUAUUGUGUUUAAAAAGAAUUUUUAAAUACCCAAUUCACCCCCCUCUUGGGUGUUUUUCUCUUUUAAAAUUAGCCUUUAUUUUCUCACAAACUAUUGUAGUAUAGUGGUUUUUAGGUGUCAUCCAUUAGGAUGAAUUGUUCUCGGUAAUUAAGGCGUGAAUGAGAGGAGAAUUAAUGAUUGUGAUUAAGUAAAAUUGAUUUGAAAAUUCAUGGUGAAAAAUCAAUUUAACAAUGGUUUCUAAUUGAGAAAAACAAUGAAAUGUGAAAUAAAAUAAAAUUAAUAGGAAAUGAAAUUCUCGAAGUUAGAAUUUUCUAAAAAACAAAUUCCAUGGUGAAUGGAUGUUGAGAUCUAAUUUUCAUCAAGUUAGAUUGAAAACCGAAAUUUUCAUAUAAACUGAUUUUUUAUUUAGUUUUAGGUCUAGAUUUAAUUUCCCUUAAAAUUAGGUUAUUUAAUCCAAGAAAUCAAUUCAAAUCAUAUAUUCAAUUCAUCUUAAAUUAUCUUCCAAUUAUUCACACAAUGCAACUAUUCAAUCUCAUCAAAUCUAGCUUUUAAGAAUUUAAUGAAUCUACCUAGUUUGCAUUGUAAUAGUCAUCCAUGACAAUUUGAAGAGAAAAAUAAUUCAAUUAAUCAAUCACUUGGAUCAAAUUACCUUUGCAAUUAAAGUUCAUUUCUCUAAUUCACCACAGAUUUUGUCUCUAGAUCCUCCUUUCUCAAAGAAAAAUGAGAUUUAGCCACACAUGAUUGGAGAUUUGGUCUCAUAAGGCAUGUUUAGCUAGUGAUAAAAUGAGAGAAAAUAAAGAAAAAUAGAGAAUUCGAUUAAGAAAGAAAAUCUAAAAAAUUCUACAAUUAGAAAUGUCCAAAAAGCUUUUUCAUGAGAAAAUCAAGUUUCUAUUUAUAGGCCAAGGUCAAGUGGACACUUGACAUCAUCUAAGAGGUCUUCCGGAAGCUUCUUCAUCAAGAAAUCUGGAGUUUAAUAAUAAAAUGGUCAUUUCACAAGAGCUCAAACAAUUUCGCAUGAUUAUGUGAAAUAAAAAAUGCAACAACAGCAAUUUACAUCUUCUUGGAGCAUUUCGCAUGACUGUGUGAAAUUUUCACAUGAUCAUGUGGAAUCGACUUGACAACUCUCAUUUAGCCUACAACAUAAUUCCACCUUUUGGUCCAUUUUUCAUAGUCAUGCGAAAUGGAAAUAUUUGAUUUUUAAGUUUUCUUUUGUCAUUUCUUUCAUUUCCUUCUCUUGAUUCCACUUCAACUACCUCCGAAUCCUGGUCCAAACCAAUUGCAUUACUUCUUUCAUUAUGCAUUUGGAUCAUCAUCAACAUUAUUUGUUCUCUUCAAUUUGAUUCAUCUCUUUUGUCACCAAUUUAUCAAAAUCAUACCUUGAAAUGACUCCAAAACUUCAUAAAACUUGUUAGUAACUCUUGCAAGGGCAACAACAUAUUAAUUAAGUGUUUUAGGCAUAGUUACUACUCAAAAGAUGCGAAACUCAUGAUAAUUAUUAUAUAAAAUAUGCUCUUUUUGAGUAGUAAUCAACUUUCUUGCAUAAGCAGACCUUUUAGGGUGGAGUACUAAAGACCAAUAUGCUUGUCCUUGUUGUAAUAAAGAAACUUGCUCUUAUUGAUUGCACCAUGGGAGAAAAUUUUGCUACAUGAGUUAUCAUCAAUUUCUUCCCACCAAUCAUAGAUUUAGACGUGACAAGAGGCCUCUUAAUGGCAAGGAGGAACUGACACUCACACUUAUACAAUUAUCGGGCAUUGAUGUGUUGCAACAAUUAGAAUAACUUACACCAAUUAUGUUGGGGAAGUCACAAAAGGCAAACAUGAAAACUAAAAGGAAAAAAGAAAAAUGUUACAUAUCACCACAACUGGAAAGAAAAAAGUAUUUACUUUCAUUUGCCAUAUUGGAAAGCACUUAUUUUACAUCAUAAUAAUUUAGACAUAAUGCAUAUUGAGAAAAAUGUGUGACAAUAUAAUUGAGACAUUGUUCAGUAUUGACGAAGAAACAAGGACAACCUAAAUAGUCAUCUCGAUUUACAAGCUCUAACUAUUAGAAAUGAGAUUCACCCAAUAGAAAGCAGGACCAAAUUUAUUUUGCUUGCAACAUGCUACUCACUCACCCCAAAUGAGAUUAAGGAAUUUUGCAAGUUUUUGAAAUCAAUAAAGGUCCCCAAUGGCUAUUCUUUCAAUAUCUCUCGUUAUGUGCAACUCAAUGAAAGGAAGAUAUAUGAGCUCAAAUUGUAUGAUUGUCAUGUCCUAAUGCAACAACUUCUCUCACUUGUAGUUCGUGGAGUUCUACAUAAGAAUGUUUGUGGAGUUAUCAUAGAAUUGCGUAAUUUUUUCAAGCAAUUGUGCUCAAAGGUGUUAGAAACAAAUCACUUACACCAACUUGAGAACAAUAUUAUUGUCAUACUAUGUAAAAUGGAGCAAAUAUUUCUUCCAUCAUUCUUUGAUAUUAUGGUGCAUUUACUUGUGCAUCUAGUAAGGCAAAGGUUGCAAGACUUGUGCAAUAUUGUUGGAUGUACCUAAUUGAACGAUAUUGUUAUAAUUUCAUAUGAAUCAUUUAAUUUUAUUUUAUAUUAUGUUCAGUUCAUUAACAUGUACAUUGGUCUACAUAUGGAUGAUGAUAGGUACCUAAGCACUUUAAAGUCAUAUGUGCGUAAUAGAACUUUUCUAGAAGGUUCUAUUGUAGAAAGGUACCUUGCAAAAGAAUGUACAACAUUUUAUUCUAGGUACUUGAAUGAUGUGGAAAUAAAGUAUAAUCACAAUGAUAGAAACUUUGUUGGUUUCAACACUAGAGGAGAUGAAAGGGGUUAUCUUUAAACAUAUUGGACAUGCAUUGGGAAAGCCCAUAUUUCAUUAACUUAGUUCAAAAGAGUGGUCACAAGCACAUUUAUAUGUGUUGACAAAUUGCGAAGAUGUCAUACCAUUCAUUGAGUAAAAAAUUUAUUUGAAUUUUAAUUAAAGCUCUAGUUUAUAUCCUUAAUCAAUGUUUUUUAAAUUCACAAGGAGCACAAGCAAACCAUCAAGGCUAGACCACAUAUACGUGUUUGAGACGUAGAUUUAAUUCAUAACAAGGAAUUUAUCAAGUGGUUUGAAAGACAUGUAAGUAUAUUCCUUAUUAUAAGGGAUUUAUUUCACAUUAUGUUUAUAUUGAAUCCAAACCUAUUAUUGAAUUGUAGGUUGAACAAUUACAUAAUGAAGGUCAUAUAUCUGAACACCUUCUCACAUUAUCAUGUGUUCCAAAUUCAUUAGUUACAUGCUUCAAAUGAUAUAUUGUCAAUGGAUUUAGAUCCCACAUUAAAGAACGUGAUAAAAAAGUUUUUAAAAAAAGACUCAGAAUAAUGGAAUUGUUGUAGUUGCAAAAACGUCAAGCUUUACAAGUGCAUGUGAUAUGAGUCCAAUUAUUAGUGAUGCUCUCUACUAUGGUGUUCUAACUAAAGUUGUUGAGUUACAUUAUCUUGGUGAAAAUAAGGUUGUUUUAUUCGAGUUUGAUUGGUGGGAUGUUACAAAUAUUGGAAAAUUGAUAAAAGAUGAUGAGUACAAUUACACAUUUGUUAACUUUGCAUGAAUUCUAACCACGAACGAACGAUUUGUACUUGCAUCUCCAGCAAAGUAAGUGUUCUAUGUGAAGAAUGCGAAUGAAUCAGAUUGGCAUACUAUCAUGGAGAUGCAACCUCAAGACCUCUAUAAGAUGAACGGGAUAGGAUCCAAUGGUGAUUUUGAACCAUUUCAACAAAGUGAACUACAUGAUCACUAAUAUAUCUCAGAUUUAGUUGAUGAAGAUAUAAUCAAGUGGAACAAAAGUGAUGUUUUAGGACUAAUCAUCCUAAAAAAUAUUGUAGUUUCUUAAAAAAAAAAUGAAAAUGAAGAAGAUAAUUGAACCUUUGUCAUACUUUAAAAAGCAACUAUGCAUUGUUCAUUUUGUAUGUUUUGGUUUUCUUCAUUUAAUUUCCUGAUUUUUGUGAUUCAAUGUCAUAUUAUUGAUCUUGAAAUAUUUUUCUAAUUUUUCAUUCUACGAUGGUUUCAACAAGGAUGACAUCAAGUCAAAAAAGGAAAUGUGGUCCCACACACAAUAUUGCAUUACAGGGAUUAAGGUCAGGGAAGAAGGUAAAAGUUGCAUUUAAUGAGUACAAUCAAUUGGUUAAACAGAAAAAUGGAAAACACUUAUCGAGCUACAUAGGGACACUUGUAUCUAACCAACACAAUGUACCUCUCCAAGCUAGUGAUUGGAAAAAUGUUCCAAAUGAUGCAAAAGAGAAAGUAUGGCCUUUGUUUUGGUAUGUUGUAUUUCUCACUAUAUGAUGUCAUUUCACUGUUAUUCUAUUUUGUGACUAACGUUUGAAUCAUAUGUAAGAAAAAUUUGAAGUAGAUAAAGACUGAAAAGAUUACAUGUUGGGUAUAGCCUCAAAUAAAUAUAGAAGCUAUAAAAAUAUGAUGAAUGCAAAAUACUAUGACCCUUGGCAUAAGGAUGCAUGAGGAGAGGUUAAUACAUAAAUCACCAUUUGUCUCUGAUGUUGAUUGGAAGUGGCUUGUCUCUGAUGCAUAAACCAAAUCCCCCACUGAAUGUUUGAUAUUUGAUAGCAGGAAAAACACACCCGCAGCUAUACACCUCCAUCAUUCAGAUAAUUAUAGUGGGGGAGAUGAUUCAUGGUUGCCCUUAUACCCUUUAUUUGCACCAUCUAUUGAGAUUCUUUAUCAUGGCCAGGUUUUACUGCAGCAAUAAGAUAUGGUGGCAACAAUUUUAUCUAUAGGUGCGGUUCCAGACCGCCUCCAUAGGUGCGGUUCCUGACUGCCUCCAUAGGUGCCUCUUCUUGUAAUGUUUGUUCUGGGAAUUACACUUGAAAGCCUUAUCGUGAUAAGGGAUUACAAACACUAGUUCAGAGGACAGCCAUGUUAAACUUCCACUAUGUUUGUGUCACAUUAUCAGCAGCCUAGUGUUUAUUGGUCAUGCUAUCUGCAACUAAUAUAACCCGGUGAACUUCAAUCUAAAUUCUGAAAGUACUCAUGUGACAGAUGGUGCCUUUCAGCAGAUAUCAUCAAUUUAAAAGUAGUGUGUGUGCCUAUAGGUGGGAAGGCCUUGGCAAAUGUUCAGUAUUCCGGUAAUUCAAGAAGGAUAUAUCUAAAAUAGAUUUUCUUCUUGCCCAUUUCAAUAGUUAAAAUUUGAGAAGAUUGUGUCCACAUCACACAAAUAUUAUUGGUCCUUCUGUUGCAAUUUACCUCUGAACAUGUCUUCCAAUUCCCACGGUCCUGUUACUCCAGGAAAACUAUUUCGGUCAUAUUGAAAAAAAAAAUAUUAAAGAAGGUACACAUGCUUUUAAGUGGACUGGGGCAUUCAUAUCAGGUGGUCUGUAUCCACAUAUGCCACUUCGUGAAAGGUGGAACAGCCUAAUCACUAGGCUAUUUAGUGUGGCCCAGCCACGUUAAUCAAGCACAAGUCUUCAUACUUAAAGUCAAAUGGUGUCUUUAGUCUCAUUACACAUCGCUAUUUGAAGAUUAACUCAUCACUAGUGUAAUGCGAUUAAGACAGUCCUAACUCAAUAUUUGUUCUAGUUUUGGAUGCAAAUGCUUGCUGGUUUCAUCAUUGGAUGGGAUAAAGGUGCAAUCAGGACUAUGAAUACGUGCAGUAAUACUUCAUUCUCUUUUUUCUCAAUGAGACUUCUUGGCACAAUUUUGCUGCUCAGCAACCUACCUUUCCAUGGAAAAUCAGUUGUGACUGAUAGUAAUGGAUAUAUUCUAGAAAGCUAAACAUAGAUAGCAUUCAAUAUUAUCGAUAUAACAUUAACAGCGUAUGUCUCAAUGCUCAUCAGCUACAAGCAAUGGACAAACACUUUGAGUAACUCACAGCAGUCAAAAUUCCUAAACAGGACAGACGUGACAGAUCUAUAUAUAGAACACUGCAUAUGAGUCACAGGAAAAGAUAAUACGGGUACAUAGAAGCUCUUAUUUUACAUAUUACUCAUACUGAUCAAAGUCGCUCAGUUGGGAUGGAUGGGAGAAGGAGGUUUGAGGGGUGGCUUGUGCGGGGAAGUUGGCAGCUUCUUUCCGGGAGCUGGUUGCUUCUUUGCUGGAGUUGAAGGAGGCUUAAUCUUCCGAGGUGGCUUGUAUGAGUCUUCAGCAUUCUCAGCAGGAGGGUGACCAGGGUUGUGACCAUAAUGUGGUGGCUUCUCUCCCUUAGGUGGUUUGCCAACUGGGGUUGGUGGCUUGUUUUCUGGGAGUGGCUUCUCUCCCUUGGGUGGUUUGCCAACUGGGGUUGGUGGCUUGUGUUCUGGGAGUGGCUUCUCCCCCUUGGGAGGUUUUUCGAAUGGGGUGGGUUUGUGUCCUGGUGGUGGCUUCUCUCCCUUGGGAGGUUUACCAAUUGGGGUCGGUGGCUUGUGUUCUGGGAGGGGCUUCUCUCCCUGGGGAGGUUUAGUGGGUGGCUUGUGUUCUGGAGGUGGCUUCUCCACCGGAGGCUUAUGCUCUGGUGGUGGCUUCUCGAAGGGGGGAUGCUCAGGGUAAUCACCAAGUGAGGGGGUGGUGAGAACCACCAUGCCAAGCAACAACACUAGCAAGUAUGUAGUAGACAUCUUUGGGUUUGGACUCAGACAGUGCAAAACUACGAGAAAUCGCUAGCCCUUUAUAGCGGCUCGGACCUAAUACUGACAUAAUAUAAAAUAAAUAUUAUAUUUUAUCAAGAGAGAACAGAGUGUAAUUUUAUCAUUAAUACCGAUCGAGGCCAAAGAAAGAAGACCCAUAAUCCAUUUCCCACAAGCAUACACAAUGCAGCUGUAAUUUUAUCAUUUACUUUUAUCCCUUGGACCACUGCAUUUUUGUUGAGAGACACAAUAACACAUUUUUAUCUGUCAUUCAACAUUUACAGUAAAGAGAGGGCACAAAACGCAAUUAGAUAAAUUAUGUUUUGCCUGCUAAAAAGAGGCAAAUAACUUUAUUUGCAACAUAAUUAUUUUGGUUUCUAGUGACCCCGGGGCCUUUCGGUUGGUUUGGGAUCGGAAAAUGAACAUCAUAGGGGGGGUUGUGCCCUUAUGGGCAUAUAUAUCUGAUAGCUUCAACUGGCCUUGUUCCUAGAAAGAAAUUGCCAAAGAUAUAAACUUAUUCCAGGCUGAAAGUAGAUGAGAGUCAUAAUGAACAUCAACCUUUGUUCAGUUUGAUUCAAUGCCCCCAUAGUGUUCAUUUCACAGAUCUGAAUGAUUAUAUCCGUUGAAUACAUAAAUUAAUGAAGACAAAUAUGAAACCCAAGAUACAUCUCUGCAUAACAACCCCAACCCUGGUUGCUAUGUUUCCCUUCUUCUAUUCACAUGAGGAUACUGGUUAUAAUUGUCAAACUUGCAACAAGCCCUUUGACACCUAACGUCAAUGGACGAAUUAAAAGUCUCCUUCAAACGUCUAUUUCACAGCAUGAAGCUUAUAAAGGAUGCUGACAACCUUCAGAGUUAGCGACAAAAGAUAAUUAUCAAGGAGAGAUAGUUCCAUGAGAAUUCCAAGGAGUCUGAAUCAAAGACAAAUUGCUCACUCAAGGGUUCUUAUUUUCUUUUAGGUACAAAUCUCUUGAGUGUUGUUAAAGAAACACGUCACUGUCAUUUUGAUUUGCAUUUAACAUUUCACUUUUGUUCUGGAAGGUUUGUUCCGGAAACAUAUCAAAUGAGCAUCAUUUUCUUCUUCGGUGACACAUGGUCGCGAGUACGUGGGUCCAUUUUCAUGCCACUUAGUUGAAAAGUUGGAAAGAAAAAACAUGCCAACAAGAAGAUAGUGAGAGAAGGGGCACUUCAAGCCUUUAACAUGAACAAACAGUAAAUAAAAGAUGUUUCUCCACUCAUAAAAGUGUGUUAGAUAGCAAUAUAACGAAUCACAUCCAAAAUCUUUACUAGGCUCAAACAUAAAGAAGACUCAUUUUUAAGAAAAGAUAAAAAUGGCAUUGUCUGAUAGUAUCCAAUACACGAGAUGGCACUUAAUUUGUACAAGAUCUGUCAAUGCUGACGCACAUUUUCUGAUUAAAAAAAAACUGAUCAGUCAAAAGCAAUGAAGAGAAGUGAUGACAAUGAAUGAUGCUUCCAAUAUUUUCACCCCUUAUAGUGUUCUUCAUGAUUCAGAUAUAUAAUUGGAAAUAGAACAACCCUAUGCCAUACAUUCGUCUAAGUAUGGUGUCUAAUUUUUUGUGUCAGCGGUUGCGAAUGGAGCGUGCAAAAGUCCAAAUUGGCGUCUCUCCAUUUCCACAUAGGAAGGUGACCUUUAUUGACAAAUACCCAAUAUUUGUAGACAUUCCUUAAAUAUCAUAACUUCUUGUUGAUUUGAAAAUCAUUUUUCAACUACCAUGUUUUAAUAAAUAUUUUUUAAAAUGUAUUUUUAUCAAAGUCCACCAUGAUGGAUAAUAUUCACCAUGCAAUAAUUAAUAAAGUACAAACUAAGCGAAAUGAAAAGCAUUUUCUUUGCUUUGAGUUGAUUUUGGUUGCAUUGAGUUGAUUUUGGUUUCAUGGUUUUUUCAACUCUUAUUUUGAUUGGAAGAUGUCAAGAAAAGAAAACAUAAAGAAAAAUUAAAAGGGAAAAAAGAAGAAAAAUAAAAAAAAAUAGAUUUAAAAGUUAAUAAAUUAUUUUUUAUAUUUAUUUUAAUUCAUUUCACUUAUUUUUCUUUUACUAUAUAAAAUUUAAAUAAUUUAAAUUUUAUAAUUAAUUUAAUUACAUUUCAUUUUCUUCUAUAUUUAAAUAUUGGAAAAAUAUUUUACUUAAUAUUUUUUUCUUUAAUUUCUUUGGCAUUUUGGGAACCAAACUUAGCCUUUAAAAUAAAAAACAAAAAAAAAAUGAAAAUAAGGAGGGAAAAGUGAGAAAAGAUAAAAACAAUAUGUAAAGGAUUUGAAAAGUAUUAGUUUGUAAUUACUAUUUGGAUUUCAAUAGUAUUUUAUUUGUCUUUCUAUAUUUCAUGUAAGAGAGAAUUUAAGAUAUUCCCCAAGGCAAAGCAUUAGUUACCUGCAAUCAGUGGUGAUAAGGCUCCAAGCCAAUUUUGGGCCCCAUAUCUUAAGACAGUACAAUUUCCAUUUCAACAUUUCUGAUUUCUCAGAUGUUUCACAUACCACAGAAGAACAUUGUUUGUGAAAAUAUGCAUUUAUGUUGGAUUUUGUAUGCUGUGGGGACUGGGGCAAGGAUCAUAUGGAAGAGUGGUUGACUUUUUCUGUACUUUAACGGUUGAAAUAGGAUAAGCACGGGCAUUUGUGAGGCUUAAUUGAUUUUGAAGCCUGAAAUUGCGUUUCUGUCAUUUUGUCAAAAAAAUGGCAGAUUCCAUACUCAUAUGUUUGGCCUGUGGCCAUGUACAGAUGCCAUUUAGUGACCAGUUUGUAACUGUCAAUCGUUGCGUUUUGACUCUGCCUCAACAACAUCUGCCAUUGACGGGUUUUCAUACUUGCAAAUCAAAUAGUCUUUCGUCCCAUCAGGAAUUUCGGUUUAAAUAUUAUUAAGCAUACGUUUGGCUGACAAUCAUUAUCCAGUUCAUGAUUUGGUUUCUUACCCUUAAUCAAUGGUUUCUAAGUGAAUAUAUGUAGAAGGAAAUCCGAAGUGUAGACAGUAGUAUCGAUAACUCUCAAUAUUCUCUAUAUAAUAGAAUAAACAGCGUCAUAGUGAUCGUCGCCUACAAGCAAGGUACAAAUACCAAAACGAGUGACUCACAUAGACAUCUCCCAACAAGAUGUAGUAGUGACUGACACAUGGACACAAUUAACUCGUAGAAAAGGAUAAGACCAUUGCACAGCAGCUCUUAUUUUACAUACUACUUAUGCUAACCAAAGUCAAUUAGUUGGGAUGGGUGGGAGAUGGAGGUUUGUGCGGUGGCUUGUGGGGCGGAGUUGAUGGCUUCUUUCCAGGAGCUUCUGGCUUUUUCAUCGGAGCUGAAGGAGGCUCAAUCUUAUGAGGCGGCUUGUAUGAGUCUUCUUUACUCUCGACAGGAGGGUGGCCAGGGUUGUGAUCAUAAUGUGGUGGCUUCUCUCCCUUAGGUGGCUUGCCAACUGGGGUUGGUGGCUUGUGUUCAGGAAGUGGUUUCUCUCCCAUGGGAGGUUUAGCAAUUGGGGUUGGUGGCUUGUGUUCUGGGAGUGGCUUCUCUCCCUUGGGAGGUUUAGUAGGUGACUUGUGUUCUGGAGGUGGCUUCUCCACCGGAGGCUUGUGCUCCGGUGGUGGCUUCUUGGUUGGAGGGGGCUUGGGGUAAUCAGCAAGAGAUGGGGUGGUGAGAACCACCAGUCCAAGGAACAACACUAGCAAGUAUGUGGGAGACAUUUUUGAGUUUGGGCUGAUCAGAUGAUGCAAAACUAAAGCAUUACGUGACCUUUUAUAGCAUGUAGCUCCCAAUACCCACUAAGUAUUGUGGGGUCCAUUUGUGCCCUACGGGGUUGAAAACUUAGACAAUUGGGCAAGGACCCACCUGACUAUGGAGGACUAGUGAGGUGUGAUCAUAGCUUUAGGAUUUUUCUUCCUCUGCAGCCGUCGUGCCGUUGGCAUGAUUUUCUUAAUCUUAAAUAAAGGCAUAGUUAUAGAGUUGUUUAAUCUCUAAAUGGGAUUUUAUAUAUAUCUUCAGAUAGCCAUUAAUAUAUUUGAUGAAGAAAGAAAGACAAGUGCAUACAACAUGUAUACGACUAGCUUUCAUGGAGUUCAUUUAUGAUCAGUUUUCCUGUACAUGUAAACCAGGAUCAUAUAUAUGUUUCUGUUCCACAACUAUUUUGGAAUCUUGUUUAUCAGUUUUUAUCAUUAUAAUGUCACAUAGGCUGCCAACUUGGGCGCUAAAAGAACCAGUUGGGCUAGUUCGUUUCAGAAUUUCAAUGUGGAUUCAGGAAUUGUUUUGUAAGAUAUGCGAAAUAGUAGAGGGAUGAAUAGUGUUUCAUUAAUAAAAGUGUCCUGUAAAUUAGAAGGUGUCAUAGAAACUAUAAUCAAUAAAUAACUUUUUUUCCCCACGGGUGGUGUUUCUUGUGGGGAUCAGUGACUGGUUUAGGUUCACCCAAAAUGAGUUCAGACUAAAAUUGGUUUGAGUCAAUGCCGUGUCUCUUUUUUCCAGAAAUCAACUAUUUUAUGCAUUGAAUAAAUCAUACAAAGAAAAUAUGAACGCCCGCAAAACCUAAACCCUGGUUGCUAACUUUCUAUGUUUCAGUUCUAUUCACGCAAGAAUAUUAGUUUAAGUUUGGGAAAAAUGGCAACUUACCUAGUGAUUACUUGGUUUUGGUUUGCGACUAUUUACGCAACCAACCAUGAGUUUGACUUUAACGUCAUGGGUUGAAGCCUCCUACAGGAAGGGAGAAAGCUCCACAGCUAGCUCCAAAAGAGAAUUAUCACAUUGAUAGCUCCAGAGAUUCCCAAGGGGACUGAAUCAAAGACAAGUUCCUCACUUUUUCUUCUUUUGAGGCCAAAUAUGAACCAAGGAUCACACAACCUCAUUCAACUUCAUAAGUUUGAUUUCAUGCAGUUGAACACUGGGUGAAGGCCAUGACAAGAAUUGAUUCAAAAAUUCUAUCACUCUUUUAAGUAAUGGAAGAUUAUUAUCUCUGAUUGGCAUCACAACAGCACAUGCUCCUAGAUCUUUCUAGACACUCCAUGCAAUGAAAGCACAAUGGAUCUUGUAACGAUAGAAACUAAGCCAUGCUACAGUACUAGAUGAUGAGGUAAAACUAGUAGACACGGGUGGCAGCCUAUAUGGGAGGGACACAAGUCUAAUUGAUUUGCAUUUCAGCAUUAUAGAUAGGUAUGUUUUGGAAGAUUUGUUCUGGAAAUACCGCACCAAGUAGGAUUCUUUUUCUCUUUAGUGGGUCCACUUGCAUGCCAAUUAACGAGUUGAAAAGUAUGAGCACCUACCUCGUGCUCGUGGAACCGAAGGUCAGUGAAGUGGGGCUCCUUUUGGCCUCGUGUAAACUUGAUUCAGAAGUGAAGUUAAUAGUCUUCCAUUCAGAUGGAUACAUGGGAAUUUUUCUCUUUUAUUUAUUUAUUUAUUUUUUUUUUGUGUGUGUAUGUCAAAGGAUAAUGAAUGAAGCGCGUUAGCUUGUUUUCUGACUGGAACCGCAGAUGUCCAAAUUGGAGUUCCUUCAUUUCUUACUUAGGAUUGUUACAUGUAUAAACAAGGUAUAAGAAAUAUGCCAACGUGUCUUGAGGAGUUAUUGAUUAGAAAUAACAAGUCACCCGACUGUAGAGUUCCAAGAUUUGAAUCUUCAGACCCUAUAGCAGCCUCUGGGGUACGUGGCAUCCUAUAGCAUAUUAAUGAAGGCUUUUUCGAUUUAGACUUCACAAUACCAAUUAAUAUGUAUGCACAAAAUGGAGAUGACCCCAAAAAAAACAGAAUCGCCAUAGUUUAUGAGGUUAAGGUGAUUCUCCACUUAAUAUCUACAUUAGCUAAUUAUGUAAAUCAAAUGAACUUCUAUUUUUCCUUUUUUUUUUUGGUUUAUGUCAAAUAGUAGCCCAUAAUUAACCCAACCAUUAGCCUGUUUGAAUUGAUUUCACAUGCACAAUGUUGUAGUAGUUCAUAUUUUGAAUUUUAUUUUUACAAAGGUAGUUAAGGAAAAUGAAGUAUAAUAAUUAUAAAAGCAGACUAUAUACACUACAAUAAUUGUUAGAAUGGUAUCUCAAAUUCUAAUUUAAAAUAUUAUUUUUUGUAAAAGAAAUAUUAUAUAGAAUAUUUCCUAAUUUUAUAAAUGAUUAUAAUUAGAUCUUUAUAAAAUAAGGAAAGUUGGUAAGAAUAUCUUUAUAAAUAUUUUAGGUCAUGAGAGAAAGAAAUGGGAUAAAAAUGUGAUGAAGAGGUGAAAUAAGAGAGUUGAUUAGGAUAUAGAUGUGAAGAAGAAAGGGAUUCAAUAUAUAUAUAUCUUUCAAUUACCACAUUAAAACCCUGUGAACCUUUUAUAUGGUUUACUUUAUUUUUAUAUUCCUCCUUUAAUAUAUUUACAUUAAUGCUUCCAUUGGCACAACAAUAACGAAUUACAAAUACAAGCAACAAGUCCCAUGUUUUAUUACCAAAAGCAGGUAAAAUCCACCUAAUAUAUUACAAUAUAUUCAUCCAAUAUUUUAGACCAAUUCUUCACCAUAAAUAUCAUAAUGUGGCUUUUGUUCUUUCUUAAAUUUAAAUUGAAUUGUCUUAUAUCAAUUUGUUUGUGAUUUUUUCAUUAACUUCACUUUCAUUUGGUUAUCUUUGGUUUUUGAAAAGUAUUAAGGAAUUAAUUAACAAAAUAAUGUUAAGAAAAAUAAUUUUCUCUCUUUUGAUUUUGAUUUUGUAGUAGAAAAAUAUAAUUAAAAUUAUUUAAAAAGUAUGUAAUUUUAAAUUAUUUAAUAUUUAGAUAAAAAAAAUAAGUCUAAUGAGUUUAAAAUAACAUAUAAAAAUAAUUUAUUUAUUUUAAAUUUAUUUUUUAUUUUCCAUUAUGUUCUCUUUCUCUUUUACUUUUUCAUAUUUUUUCUUACGAAGAAUCAAACACAACCUCAUAUUAUAUGUCAAGUGUUUGUCUAUAUUUGAGCAAUGUUAGAUACGGCCAUGGAUUCAUCAAACUAAACUGAUUUUAAUAGAUACUUCACAAAUUGAUUUAUACACUAAAUCAUUGGAUAGCAAUGAUGCAUUGGAAUUAAACGUAGGAUGAAGCUCGAAGAACACUGUUUGUGUAACAACAUAUUUAUGAAAUUAUGCAAAGGAUGAGCUUCGGGGUAGUAGUACAAGGUCAUUAAUGGAGAGCCGUGUUAAACCUUGAUUGUGAUUGGAUUCCGUUAUCAGCAACAGCAACCUUGUUUGUAACCUUGAAAGUCAUUCUGUCCACAUCGAAACUCCAAUUUGACGUUUGUAAUUACCAUUCCUGGAGUGUUCCUUGAUUGAAAUUUAAAUAAUAAUUGCGGCCCACAAGGAAUAUUUUCGAUUCUGUGGGAAUUUGACAAGGUUUGUUAGAGAAGACUGGUGACAUGUUGACUUCAAUGGUUCAAAUAGGAGACGUAUGUGGAUUUGGGGGGUUUAAUUGAAACUGAGUCCCUAUGGCUUUUUAAUAUUUGCAUUGAGCAGUCUCCAUGUGACUUCCUAAUUCCCACCAACCCUCCUGUCCAUGCUGUGAAACUAAAUUGUAAUUUAUCAGCCUUUGUCAAUGGUUUCUAAAUUAAAGAUAUAGACCAUGCAUGUACUUUAAUAAAAGCAAAUCUAAAGUGUAGAUAGCAGCAAUGGUGACACCCAAUAUUCUCCAUAAAAUAGAAUUAGAAUAAGCAGUGUUACAUUGUUCAUGAUCACCUACAAGCAUACAAGAACUUCCAUGAAUAACUCAUAGCAAUUGCCAACAGGGCGUCGUAGAGACUCAUACAUAGAACACUAUCCACCCAGAGGAAAGGACAAGACCAGUGCGCUGCAGCUCUUAUUUUUCACAUGUAUACCACCACUCGUAAUAACCAAAUUCACUCAGUUGGGAUAGGUGGGAGAUGGUGGUUUGUGGGGUGGCUUGUGGGGAGGAGUUGGAGGAGGCUUUAUUUUCUGAGGCGGCUUGUAUGAGUGUGCAGGAGGAUGCCCGGGAGUGUGACCAUAAUGUGGUGGCUUCUCUCCCGUAGGUGGUUUGCCAAAUGGGCUUGGUGGCUUCUCUCCCUUAGGAGGUUUACCAAUUGGGGUUGGUGGCUUGUGUUCUGGGAGUGGUUUCUCUCCCUUGGUAGGUUUGCCAAUUGGGGUUGGCGGCUUAUGUUCUGGGAGUGGCUUCUCUCCCUUGGGAGGUUUGCUAAUUGGGGUUGGCGGCUUAUGUUCUGGGGGCGGCUUCUCUCCCUUGGGAGGUUUGCCAAUUGGAGUUGGCGGCUUAUGUUCUGGGAGUGGCUUUUCUCCCUUGGGAGGCUUGCCAAUUGGGGUUGGCGGCUUAUGUUCUGGGGGUGGCUUCUCUCCUUUAGGAGGUUUGCCAAUUGGAGUCGGCGGCUUAUGUUCUGGAAGUGGCUUUUUUCCCUUGGGAGGUUUGCCAAUUGGGGUUGGCGGCUUAUGUUCUGGGGGUGGCUUCUCUCCCUUGGGAGGUUUGCCAAUUGGAGUCGGCGGCUUAUGUUCUGGGAGUGGCUUCUCUCCCUUGGGAGGUUUUGUUGGUGGCUUGUGUUCUGGAGAUGGCUUCUCCCCUGGAGGCUUGUGCUCCGGAGGUGGCUUCUGAAAUGGCGGGGGCUUGGGGUAAUGAGCAAGAGAUGGA
rnacentral:lncRNA from 1 species